GUUUUUUUUUUUCCUAUUUAUUGCUUUUGCUUGCAAAAUGUGCACUCUGUAGUCUGUUCUUUCUUUUUUGCAUAUUUAUGUUGAAGUGAUAGGGAAAUGUUGACAUCUCUUGUUCUUUCUCCUGAUUUCUGGCUUCUAUCCAUGCUUAAUUGAAUAUGCGAGUUCAGCUGCUGUUUUCUGCUUCAGUGAGAGAACAUUGUGGCUUCUUUUGGAAUAUUGGUAUUAUGUGAUCUCAGGGGAUGAGUUUUUUACUCUUUCUCCCAGUUUCCUGCAUCCUUCUAUGUCUAUUUGGAUAUUUUAGGUUUAAUUAUGGUUUGAUCUUUCAUUUUUGCUAACUUUUGUUGCAGUAGAGAUAAAUACUUUGCGCCCGUUCUGUAGAUGGGAAUGUUACUGUUCCUGGUUUGCUUCUUUCCCAAAUCAAUAAGCUACUGAAUGAUGCUUUCAAAAUCCUUUUUGGUGCUUUCUUCAAGCUUGCAAUUGUGAAGACUUCUAUGCUUUUCUGGUCACUGAAUGAUUCUGGAGUUUCUUCAUUGUUGGUUAUUCUAACAGCUUGACUAAAGUGUGUCAGUGCAGAUGAGCUGCAAAUGCUUUCGUCACUUGACAAACGGGUGUUUGUGCUGCUCGAGGUUGUAUUGUGCAUUUUCUAGUGUUUUUUUUUUUUGGGUUUCAGUCUUCUAUACAUGCCUAUAUGAAUAAUGAAUGUCUCGAGGUUGUAUUGUGCAUUUUCUAGUGUGCUUUCGUCACUUGACAAACGGGUGUUUGUGCUGCUCGAGGUUGUAUUGUGCAUUUUCUAGUGUUUUUUUUUUUUGGGUUUCAGUCUUCUAUACAUGCCUAUAUGAAUAAUGAAUGUGAAAUAGUAGUUUGCAAAACUUUUCUGUGGUGUUUUUUUUUUAAAAUAAUUUUGAUGACUAAGAUUCUCUUCAUUCUUUAUUUGAACUACGAGGACUUUGAUCUCUAUUUUGAUAGAGUACGUAGGCGUUUGGGUUCUCUCCCAAACUCAAGUCCAAUUUGCCAUUGAUUUUUUUUAUUUGAUGCCAUAUGUGGAUUUCUUACCAACCAUUGUUUUUGUAGUGUUUGAGAGUAAUAGUGGACAGGACUUCUGCUUGAGGUGAUCGUAUUAUUCCCACUAAUCCUCUUUUAUGUGGUUGUAUUGUGUUGGCUGUUCAAUUGGAGGAUAACAGCCUGUCGUGAUGUAGAUUAUGUUUCUAUGAAUGUCGCAUAAUCAUGUGAAGCUUUAAGCUGAUAUAGGUACGAUUGUCCCGAUCAUGUGUUGAAGUUUUUACAUUUGAGUAAGAAUUUUAAUACGGAUAACAGCCCGUCAUGUGAUGUAGUUUAUGUUCCUAUGACUGUCACACAAUCAUGUGAAGUCUUAAGCUUAUACAGGUACGAUCGUCCCGAUCAUGUGUUAAAAAGUUUUUACGUUUUUGAGUAUGAAUUUCUCAACGCAUAAAAUAAACUCUCCUCCGAAGAAAUUAUCUUCAGUUUAUGUUAGUAGGAGCUACCAAGUGAACAUUUUCAUAAGUGAAUCAACCAGAGCAUGGUGUAGACAAUUUAUGACAGUAAUAGCUACCAAGUGAUUGGAUUAUGGUGUCUGCUAAGAAGGAAACUGAUGAAUGGUUUAAAAUUUGUAACCAUUCCACAAGCAGUACUUUUCCUUUGGUAACAACUAACAAAUCCAACCUUUAAAACUGGAAAAACAGCAUUUUUAGGCAAUGCAGUUCCGUUCCACUUGGACCUCUCAAAGGCUGCACAGAAACCAUAUAUACUGUGGUAGAGGGGGAAGAAGACUUAUGAAUAUGAAAAUAUUUAUAAGUACAUGAUUAUUUCAAAAGGUAAACCCAUUACUUGUCUACUGUUGAUGUAACCACGGUACUCGAAGGGGUCAGUAACAACAGAGGCAGCAACAAGCCUAUUUAUGUGAGCCAUAUCCAUGACGAGAAAAGCAUCAGCAGCCUCUGCAAUCUAUGAAGCAACAACAGCAUCUGCAAUCUAAUCAAGCAGUGGAUGCUUUGUGGCUAGCCGCCAAUGAUAUACCCAGAAAAAAUUGUAAGGCAGAGCUAGCAGUAAAUCCUUACCUGCCUCAUGCGAGGAUAGUUAAAGAUAUGCGUUGGCACCAGCUAUUAUGAGUUCUGGUCCAAGGAGAAUAGCCGUUUUCUGGAGCAUGUCCUUGCAUAAAACUGAAACAGAAAUCACAACCGAGUGACCCAAUGAAAUAGUCAAAGACAACCGUCUUUUAGGAAAAUUACAGUAACAUAUUAUGGAUCUGUAGUGUUCUGGAUCAGGAGUUUAAUCAGAAAUAAAAAAAGAUGAAAUCUUAUCAACAACUAACCGUUAUUCGAUCAUGAGGAUUAAGAAUUACAGUAUAAACUUCAAAAUUAUGCUGCCAAAGCUCCUUUCUGACAAAGGGUUUCAAGCUCAUCAAUGUACUCGUUACCACUAUAGUAUCUGAGGUUAAGGGAAAAAAAAAAAGGUUUAUUUCGUCCAUGUAAAAUUGCGUGAAAAGAAAAUGUGAAAGUAAAAAAAAAAAGGUGAAAUAUCCUGAAACGAAGAGAGUUUACCUUUUACCAGGCAGUCCUUCAGAAUAUUUGUCUAUGAGGCAUGAACCGGCUGCCUCCCAUCACAGCUCGGGAUGUAAAAUUUUCAAUGCAAUAAGCUCAAGGCUAUUGAACUGCCUCUCCUUCUCCUUGGUUUUCAAUAAUUUCCUAUGCAUACAAUUGGCUAAACCUCUGUCUCUCCCAAGAAGCGUGAACGGCUCUGCUGUCGCCUGUUUUGAAUAAACAAAUAUAAAUAUACAAGUAUUUGUCUGUUCAAAAAAGAAAAAAAGAUCAUGAAGUACGAUGAGUUUUGCAGACUACCCAAUUUGAAGUCGUAUGCGAAUAUUUACGAGGGUUAUUUGUCUGUGAGCAAGCAAGAAUUUUAUAGAAUUUAAUAUAAAAUUGUAGUUUUAAUUAUUUAUCUCAUUGUAAAUAUCAAUAAUUCAUUAAUUAUCUUCUGGAAUAACAGUUGUUAAUAGUUGUAAAAUAUUUGAUGUAAUAUAAAUUGUUAAAGAAAUGCAACGUCAAAAUUCACUGGAUAGCAUAGAUUUAGAUGUCAAAGUGGGAAAGACGACUGAGAAACACCCAAUGAUUUGGCUAUUGGCUAUUGGAUUUAAAAAGGAUAUAAGAUUAACAUUGGAAUUGAAUGUUAUAUAUAAAAUUAUUUAUUAUUUUAUUUUAUCAUUUAAUAAAUGAAAAUUACAUUUAAUUAAAAUUUAACUAUUAGAAUCUUCAACAUUACAACAACAAAAAAAUUGAUGACCAUUAAUGAGUAUUUGUAAAUACAAACAAGCGAAAAAAGAAUUAUAAAGUUCGUAACUUGUACAAUCAAAACUGUUGAAAUAGUGGACCUCAAAAGAGAUAAAAUUAUAAAAGGGACUUUUGAGUAUAGGAUUUUAUUCCCACAGAGAAAAAGAAUGAACCAAAUUCAAAGAGGGUGCAAAAGUAUAAAAUUAUAAAAAAAAAAUUAGGAUAAAUAAACACCAUUAGAAUGAUUGUUCAGUCUUGGACGGAUUUCUCGCCUAAUUCAUUCAUAUUUAUUUAAACAGCGUCAGAUAAAAUCUAUUCGCCGUGGUGGGGUAUGUACUCUUCAAGUCAUUAGGAAUGCUGAACUGAACCCAGAAUAUUAAUGGGAGGUUUUACACAUAACUCACAACAGAUGAUAAUGAAUUUGUACGAAAGACUAGAAAACCAAUAAUUAUGAAUUUACAAGCAUCACAUUAGCUGGUUGCAACACUAAGUAAUGCCACCCAGAAAGAAAGCAGUUUGGCAACAAUUCUUGAAGCUUGUAUAGUUCUUCUAUUAUAAUUUGGAAGUACAUUAAAGUGAUAAACCUUGAUAGAGAACAUGAAAUUGUUCACUCCACAUGCGAAAGACCACCGCCGCUUUCAGACUUUGUUCUGCACAAGCCAUCAGUUCCGAUAAAUACAAGAAACUAUGUAGUAGCAUAUAAAACAUAACAGGAUUGAACUUCACAAUCAGACUUGAAAUGAUGGACAUUUAAUAAUUGUGCAAAUGCCACACAGAAUGAAAUUAUAAUAUAUAACAAUAGAAUAAAUUUUGAGCAUCAUUUCCUUCUACAAUGGUGAGAUUGAUAAAUAAGUUCAAAAACCCCACUAUCUAUGAAACUAUUCCUACAAGGAUAACCAAAACUUACUUGUGGUCGGAGGGAUUCGGCCUCAGCUCAUAAACAAUUGUUGCCACGACGUCCCUCUUCAACUGUUACUCAAUAGACCAAAAACAAACCAAAUGGGUGUUAGAGGUGCAGGAAGGUAUUAGUUGGAAGCACAAACAUUUCACAGAUUAGAACAAGGAAAAAAAAAAUUAUUAAAACAAAGACAAUAACAAAUUCAUAAAAUUUGAUCUCAGCCAAUAAAUUACCUGGGUGGCUUCCCCUUUUAGGCCAAUGUAGUGUAUCUGAGUUGUGUCACCACCAAAAUUGUCAGGGAAGUGUAAUGUGAUAUUGGCCACACUUUGAAAUUUGGAAUACCUAAAGUAUGCAUUAAUAUGACAUUAAAAACAGUUCGUAACAGAUGAUUUUUUUUUUUGGUGGAAAUACAAUACAACAUCAACCAAACAAUGGUAAGUUGCUAAUAAAUGGGAAGCACCCAAAUUCAGUAGAUUAUGCCUGGUCACAUCAAUUGCUCAUCAUGAAAGUAUGGAUAUGAAGUGUUUGCAAACAAAGCCUCUAUUGCAUGUCAACAAAACUGAGUAGUAAUCAAUAAUUACCUUGUUUGGUAUUCUAACACUCCUUGCAAAUUCUCAACCAAAUCCCAUUCCUUGGAACAAAUGGUACAAAUGUGUCAGAUGAGUUGAAAUGAAGAAUUUGCUAAAAAUGCAAUGAUAAGCCAACAUGAGGCAUACCUGAAUAGCUUGCAUAUCUUGAGCAUCUGAGAAGUCAAUACCCUCUCGAUUGAUGAACCUAUUAAAAAAUGAAAAAAAAAAAAGAAAAAAAAACUCAGGACACCACUUCUUCUUUUAAGAAAUAUAAAAGGUAGAGAAAUAAAAACAAAUUUAAUAUUUGAGUAAUGGCAACAAGGGACUAAGAUUGAGCAUUUUUCGCUCAAUCCGCUAAUCAUCUAAUCCUAACCCAGACUAGACACACACACACACACAAAACCACAAAAAAAAAAAACUAGACUGAGAAUUUUAUGAUAAGCCAAUGAAAAUUCCAUCUAAAAUUUAUAUUUCUAAGAUCAUUUGAUCCCUUCCACUUACUACGAUGAGAAAAAAAAGCUAUUUGAGUUUCUUUCUAAAUUGGAUAGUAUUACAUCUAACAAUUGAUGAAGCAUUAUGACAGCAUACAUAAAAUUCACAAGUUCAAACUCACACUCUCAUCUUCGAAGGACUUGUUCCAUCAGCACCACCAACAAUUGAAAUGCUCUUGAUCUUAACAUCUGUAGUAAAUCUAUCAAAAUCAAGUGGAAGAAGGAUUCUCAAUGAGCCCUUUUAGAACAGAAGAAAUCUUUAGGGAAACAUGUUCUUAAGAAAGAACAAUAUGAAACAAUAAUUUCGAGAGCAUCUUACUAUGAAGAAAAAAUAGAUUGGUUUUAAGAAAAAAUUUAUGCAUAAGAAUUAUAGGUGCAGAAAUGCGGACAUCAAAUUUUGACUUUGUAUACAAAGUUGAGCAAAUAUUAUCUUUUAGACUCAAGAUGGUCUCUGAUUGUUCCUAGUAAGAGACAUUAUCGUUCCACUAAAGGAGAAAAAGUAUGAAUAAAGAUAACAGAAGUCCUUAGUAUUUUAAUCAUAAAUUUCAUUUCAUUCCAUCAAGCUUAUUUAUGAAAUUAGUAAAUUUCAAAAUAUUGCUCAUUUUAACAUCAAUAUAAUACAAAUUAUAAUUAGACAUAUAGAUUGGUGGGAUAUAAAGGGGUUUAGAAAGAACAAAGCCACUUGGGAUAUGAAAAAAUACAAAAUUAAAUACAGCUGGGGACAUGAGUGUAAUGAAAAUUAAUGUCUAUUUCUCUGAACCUUGAGAUCCCAGCUACUGUUUAUUCUUAGAGCAAAAGGUAGCCACUUACGGAAUAUAAACAAGUAACUCUGGAUCACCAUCAUUGCUUUCCAAAUGUUCCUGGGUCCACAAUGAGGAUCACAUAAGCUUUAAGAAGGCAUGUAAUGAAAGACUUGUUUCGAUACAUCAUAAGCAAAAUAUAGCAUGCUAAAUAUUGAUAUUUCCCCCAAAACAUCAUCUUGAUCAACUUGGCUUGCUUGCAGAUUCUAUAGUAACUUUUCUAACAGGGUAAGCGUCUUUUUUCUUUCAGAUGUAAUUUCCAGUUCUAGGUUAGAAACUGGCAAGAUAUUAAUUUGUGUAUUCAUAAAAUUGCAAAGUAGAAUAAUAACGAGGCUGAUAAAUAAGUGAAACAAAUCGCACAAUAAUCAAAAGAAGGCUAUACCUCAGUGGUUUUCCGGUUUGAAAUAGAUAUUAAUCAAAGAGCACUACUCAUAUGAGUAACAAGAAGUAAUGUGUAUCAUGACCAAAUUUAUUUUGCUUUGCAUUCAAAUCUUUUUAUUUGAAGCUUUCUCAUCAUUUCAGAAGAACCUAAUCAAGUGUGCUUAAUCAGGGUAGUUAUCCUAAGCACAGGUUGCAAUAUUAACACUACUUUCACAAGAGAGGCAUACAAGUGAUGCAUACACUUGUUUGCAAGUGAAACCCAAUCUCAGUAGAAUGACACCAAGGGUAAAAGGAAUCAAUUAACAGAAAUCAACUUCCAGUGGUCAGUAAAACAGCUUUUUGCAGCAUAUUUGAGGCACAUCUUCAAAAAUCUUGCAUCCUCAGUAGAACUUCAAAAGAUAACCAGGCAUAAUCAACCACCUUAACAGAAAUGUUUACCUAGCUGUAAUGUGAAAAAGUCACGCCAAUAAAUCGAAAGCAAAUCAAUACUACAUGUAGAAGUCAAUCAAUGUAAUUUUAAUUCAAAAUGGAGACAUAGAACUAGAUUUCAAGUACAAAAGUAUAUGGCUAUGGUGCAAGGAUGAGGACUUUUAGGAGGUCAACCAAACCUUCAAUGAAUGAUUCAAUGAUUGAACAUUUAUAACAUACUUAAAAGUUGGAAAUAGAUUCUGUGCAGCAAGAAAUAUUUUUUCAAUCACAUACAGGCACAUUCACCUGAGAGUACACACCCACAGAUGAGACACGCUUCUUGGAAACAUGCCAAUGUCUAGAUAAAAAAUGAACUACAAAAGAGUAUACAAAUGCAUGAAUUACCCCAGAAGAAUUCAGACGCUGCUCCCAUGCUUUGAAAACUGACUUGACACUCCCUGGAACAGCCUCAUUUAAUGCAGACACCUAGAAAGGCCAUCCAGUACAAAAGAAACGGAAAAAUCAGUGAAAGCAAUUAAAUGAAAUGAACUGAAAAAAGAAAAUAUAAACCAACAACAGCUCAGAAGGAAGUAGCUUCCUGUCGCAAAGCAAACGGGGCAUCCAUUCAAAUGAAGCAGCCCUUCACUCUGGACCUGUAAAGGAACAUAACCCGGCCUAUCUACUGAGUACACCAAAACAUGGUGGGAAAAUUGAUCUUAAAACAGCUCCCUUGCAAUUACCAAGACUUUUUUUUGAAAGCUCACUAAUGUUUUUUCACCUGGGCAAAGGGUAAUGAGAACUAAGGGCAAAGCCAAUUUGACAGCACAGGGGGAGUCUUAAAGUGGAAAAAGUUCUGCACAGCCAAAUUCUAUCGAAUUCAAGCUCUAUCCUGCUUACCCAUAAAGCAAAUCACAACUACAAUUUCCAAAUGAUCCCUUUCUCAUUUUAUCAUGCAACUGGCAUACAAAGAUGCGAGAAUCCAGAUAAUUACACAAAACCACAGCAUGCGCACCUCGUCAUCCAAAAUUUUAACCAAACCUGACUGACCCCCAAAAUACAAACAAAUAACAGGAAAAGUGAACACAAAUGCAGUUUAUCAAGCAACCACGCCUUUUACACAUUUAUUUCUCCGGCUAUUUCAUAUAUAUCGAGUGUGAAAAGAUAGAAAUUAACCUUGGAAAGAUCUAUAUGUUUGUAGAGAGACCAAUCAGAAGAGCAAUCGUGAUCUUCACAGCUAUGAUCGUGCAAACACGCCAUCCCCUUCCGCCUCUAAACCCGGUUACCGCCACAACACACACGACUAUGUGCGAGCUACAGCCUACAACCACGAGUUAAUCUGAUAUGACUAAAAUACCCCGGAACACAAAGGGAACAAAACUCCUCUUCUUUCUAAUAAUAUCAAGGGUAUUUUCGUCGCACUAUAUUUUUUCCACUUUGAAAACUAAAACGGUGCCGUAUUGUUGUAGUCUUUUUGUGCCACGACGUCGUUUCUAGUUUCUGAUGCAGCAAUUCAUGCGGAUUCAAACGCAGCGUGUGCGCUAUCUGUGUCUCCAACGAAGCUGAAUCAUCACUGUGUCUGUAGAAGAGAAAUCGAUGGAGGGAAUAGAGGGAGAAAGCUCAGGAGCAGGGCGAUUCACGUUGCCGCCAAUGCGCAUAAGCAACGAAGACAUAAUAUUUUGUGUAGAUGUGGACGCCGAAUCGCUAGUGGAAAUGAAAUCAACUGGCUUCAAUGGGAAACCAAUCACCAGACUGGAUGCUAUGAAGCAAGCGAUCCUCCUCUUCGUUAACUCCAAGCUCUCUAUCAACCCCGAUCACCGUUUCGCUUUUGUCACUCUCGCCAAAACCGCUUCCUGGGUACUCUCUCUUUUUCCCCUUUUCAUUUUUCAGUUGAAAUUCUGAACGACGUGUCGUACAUCCGUGGGUCCUGCUAUUCUUGUGAUUAAUUGAAAAAAGAAAUAGUCAAAUUUGAGAAUAAAGUAAAGAAUUUUCUUCAAUGCAGUUAAUGUAUUUCCAAAUCAUUGCAACUGAAGCACGUAAUUCUAUUACAAAUUUACGAACAUAUUGCUUGUAACUCAAGUUGGAAUACGUAGUCUGUAUACAAACUUUGUAAGAGUAGCACUACUUGUAUAUUUAUGCGAGCCAUUUUAAUGUGAACAAAAUGUUGCAUGAGUCAUUGUCAAUUCUUUUGCUCUUUUGUUGAAAUUAAGAAUUUGAUGUGUGUUUGAUAUGUUGUAGCUUCGGAAAGAGUUCAGCAGUGACAUAGAGUCUACUUUGACUGCAGUCCGGGGGAUUUCAGCUACUUCUGCCUGUGGUCAGGCAGAUCUCACCCAUCUCUUCAAGUUAGCAUCUCAUGAAGCAAAGAAAUCUCGUGCACAGAACCGGAUUCUCCGUGUGGUAAGAUUUAGUCAGUUCAUCUCACUCUGCUUAACAUGUGCUUAUGCAUUUUCUAGCUGAAUAUACAAAAUGUUUUAUCCGUUUAUCUUGUUGUCUUAUUUAAAUUUGCUAUUAGUUAAAUAGUCAAUCAGUGUGAUUACCACAACUUGCUGCAUCUUCACAAAAAUCAUAUAAUCUCUUUGUUAAAUUUACUGGCACUUCCAGAGUUUUGACAAGUAUUUGAAGCUUUUUUUUUUUUUUUUAAUUUCAUCAAAGCAUUUCCAUCUUGUUUCAACUUCAUUCUGGAUUGAGGUCAUAAUAAGAAGUUAUGAAGUUGUGAACUGCAACGCAACAUGAGAUCUGAUAUUCUGCUCUAUGUAGAUUCUUAUAUACUGCAGAUCAUCUGUAAGACCACAACAUCAAUGGCCUGUGAACCAGAAACUCUUCACUAUGGAUGUAUUGUACCUUCAUGACAAGCCUGGACCUGACAAUUGCCCCCAGAAGGUCUAUGAUGCUCUUGUUGAUGCCCUUGAACACGUCUCUGAGAAUGAGGGCUACAUCUUUGAGAGCGGGCAGGGGUUAGCUCGUAUCCUCUUCCGGCAAAUGUGUGUGCUGUUAUCACAUCCCCAACAACGGUGUGUGCAGGAUGAUGUUGACAUACCCAAGUCUCUUGUAAAGAAGUCACCUGCAGCUGACACAACAAAUGGUGAAGAUACUGUUCCUGUAACAUCCAGCCAGUGAAAAAGUCAACAACCUGAUUGGUUAGUUCAUUUUGCCUCUGAGCAAUCAGUUCUGUUUUCGCUUUUAUGCUUUUAGGUGGUGUAUUACUUAUUGCAUAAAAAUGCUUACCCUCUUUGGCCUUCUCCCAUCUUUCUUGUACAAAUUGUGUAUCCUUCAUGAGACUGAAUGGAUUAUUGAAUAUGAAAUGUUCAGUAUCAGAUUUUGGAUUUUUUUUUCUUAAUUUUCCCGUUACAACACAUUGCAACCUUGCCGUUUAUUGUGAAGUCUUGUGGACUGGACAAGUGCUUGUCUCGUUUUCUGAGCUUAUUGUUGGUUUCAUUGGAUAAGUAUUAUGCUUAUAAUGUGAUAGAAACUUUUAAGCAAUUAGAAAAGAAAACCAAUCUAGAUGAAGUUGCUAUUAUUGAAGUAAGGUUGAAUACUCAUUCCAAACCACCAGGAACAUGAGUGAAGUGUACGGGAAUAGAAGCAUGUGAAUUGAAUUGUUGAAGUUCAUUGUAUUGGGAUUAAAUAAAUUUGUUUAUUGAAGUGUGAUUAUAGAAAUAGGUCUGAAGGAUGACAGAGAUUAGGAUUGUGAUGAUCCUUGUCACCAUCAUAAUCAUCUUGUCCUCACCAAGCACAUGCCAUAGACACUGUCCACCUGAUUCUGGAUAAACUUUGAGUCGGCUCUUCAUAGAUUCUUGCCUGUGAGGCCAUCUUUUCUUGUUCUGGCAAAUGUAACAAUGCGAUUUAUUGUAUGAAUAUUAUCAUACGUGGGAUAACUUAUCCUCAUAAAGAAAAGGAAUCCUGUAGAUUCAAAGAAGUUUUAGAAAAAUAAGAACAAUAAUAGUCAAUGGCUUCUAGCAGUACCAACAGCCAUCCAAAUUAUGUCAACUCAAUAUUUUAAUCUCUCACCUACCAUGAAGUCUGACGGCAACAUAUGUGUUAAUUACCACUAACAAUAGGCAUUUCUAUACUGUCAAACAAUUGUUUGUCCGACACAAAGCACCAUGAUUGUGCUUUGAGUGCACUGAUAAAAGCCAUAGCAAGAGCAGCUCUUUGGGAAUUUGCAAGGUUUCAUUGGCAUGUGGUGAGAUUCAGAGAGCAACUGAGGCCACCGCACUCCAAAAGACAUGUUAAAGAAAGAUUGGGUCUAUAAUUCGGUCUAGUACGUCACAUGCACAAUCAAAUUAAUUGAAGGCCUAAUGAACUCAUUGGCGAGAUUGUUGGUAAUUUUCACUUUGAAUUGAAGAUUGAUCAAUAACUUUAAGAACCUGUACACAAACAGGGAAAAAGAGAGAGAGAGAGAGAGAGAGAGAACGGAAUGAACCUCUAAACAAAUAAAAAAUAACAUUUCUGGGUGAAGUUCAAUUCAUAAUAAAUUUCACUGUUAUCCAAAGUUCCAAUCAUUUGGAACCUCCCCCAAUCCCCAUCAGACUCAUGCUUUGAAGGGCUCAGGGUUCUUUUCUUUUCUCAUUCUUACAAACUGUAUGUGUUUUUAUUGUUAUCAAUAUCAAUAUCCAUGGGAUCAAUAAUUGAUACUAAAGAAAAAGAAUCGGGCAGAUUCAAAGAAAUUUACUUUAGAAGAAUAAAAAUCUAAGAAUAGUUAAUUGCAUAGUCAAUGGUUCCCUUGCUGACCAAAAGCCAUACAAAUUGGCAACAUAUCUCUUCAACCCAAUUGCUUGAAAUUUCUCCAUUCACAUUCAUUUAAAUAUGCAUUAAUUCCUUUGAAAAAUUAUAAGAUAUCAAUUGAUUAAAAUAUCUUGUAAAGGUCGGCAAGAUUCGUAUAACAUUACAAGCCAGGUGGGUGCUGAGAAAGUUUUGAUGAUAUUGAUAAGAGCAAAUACUUCUUAAAACGCAUUCAAUUUUGAUUGAAUCCAUUAUCAACUCAUAACAAGAUUAUAAUAUAAAAUCUUUCAAUUAUAUUAAAUUCGAAAGUUCAACACUCUUGCCCUUUCCUUCGUGGCUAAAGUUUUUUCACUUUAAAUAAGAAAUUAAUCAAACUUAUCUGACUAAUUUUUUUUUUGUAAUAAUCUAACUUUAUAUACCACUUGCUCGAAUCAUGCAGGGUUUGUUUUUUGGGCCAAUGGCUCGAUCGGGAAGACUCAAAUACCCACAAGAUUGGGAAUCGACCCCCUCCUUAACAAUCCAUCUAAAUAAUUUAUUUGAGAACAAAGUCAACGGAAUCGUGAUGAGGACCCAACUUGUGAAAAAAAAAAUUCCACAAUUUAAAUGGUCAGGAUCAUCUGAUCAAAUCUCAUCUGUAUAUGAAAGAUAUAUAUACUAAUUUUGCUCACCCAUAAAUAACAGUGUGCUUCGGUCCUGCUAAUUUGCGCAUGCUUGCGUUAAUUAUUAUAAACCAUAAUUACAACCUAUACGCCUAGAUCAUAUAUUUAAUUGCUUAAAGUAUUCUUUUUAGUGGUCACCAAUUAUAUAUAAUCUCUUUAUUUUCGGGGGAAAAGAACUAUAUUAAUAUAAUCUCUUUUGAUAGAUUUACCAAACUCAACGGAUUCCAAUGGCCUGGGAUCAAAUCUACUUUAAUUUAUCCAAAAAUGUGCUCCCACGACUCUUGUUGCUUUUUUUUUUUUUUAAUUACAUGUGAUUUUUGCUCAAUAGUACAAUUCCUAUUACAUAAGAUUACAACUGAUAUUUAUAAAUUAGACUACUACUGAGACUAAUUUACAUCAAUUAUUAUAAAGCACCGUCCAAAUUUUUACCCUCUCUAAUAUUCAAGGAACGUAUACUCAACUCACGUUUCGAAAAUAAGAAAAUUAUUUUCACUCAAAUUGAAAAAAAAAAUUAAACCCUUAUAAUUCAUGACCUCACAAUUGUGAGGUUACGUUUUCUAACCACUAGGCUUUAGCCUAGUAGCUUAGACUCUUCUUGCUUUUAAUAUUUGGAAGCGACCAAAAAUCAAUUUUACAUUUUGCAUGAUAAAGCCAUCUAAUAUCUUGUGCUAUUUGCUAAAACAUGAUUGAUAUCGGUCACGUAUUUAGAAAAUUAUAUCUACAUGUAUAAUUUACUGUCGACAUAUCUGUGUGAAUAUUUAAGUAAUUUUUAAUAUAAAUUUUGAAUUUAAAUUAUGUUAAUGUAUUUUAAAAUCAAAGUUUAAUGUAUUUACUUGGUGCAAUAGGAGCAAAUUUAUAAUUUAAUUUUAACUUAAUUAGAAAGAAAAUAUCUUAUGUGAUUGUUGGGUUAGUAGCAGACUACACAAUAAAAAUAAAUUAAAUAAUAUAAAAUAACAAUAAUAAUAUGAGUUCAGCUAUGUUGGUUAUGCUCUAACUUAAAGCAUCCAUUGCAGUCAUUGAAUCUAAAGUUGAAACAAAAAAUACUCAUUUUAUCUUUAGAUUCAAUGCAUUCGUGAACUUAAAGCAUCUCCAACAUAACAAAUCAGUUAAUAACUAACUAGAUGUGAGUUGUGUAUGAUGCAGCAGCAUUACAUCAAAUCAGUUAAUAACUAACCAGAUGUCCCAGAAUGCCAACACUUUUACUGAGAAAUAUGAAGUUUGCACGAGGAAAAAGUAAGCAAUUCGGUGCACGCGUAAAGCUAGAGCCGGCUCAGUAGAAGUGCUUUUAAGAUACUACUCUAGUCUAAACUUAUGAGUAGGGAACACCUCAUUUGCCUCUUUAAGUGAAUCUUGGGGUAGUCUUAACACUAAAAUAAUGCACGAACAUUAAAAAACCAAUGAAUCUAUAUAUUAUUAUUGAACAAAGAGUGUGCUUUCAGCUCGUUGGGAGCCACUCACACAUUUUUAUAUUUACAAUUAUUAUCUUUGCUAACAUGCGCUUUCUUUUUGUCCUUAAAAUCCAUGUUGCAGAAGACUAUUUUCAGUCAUAUUAGUUUUACGAGUUCAAGUGGAGAGGGUAAGAAAGAAAAAAAAAAAAAAUUGUACCAUUUUGAGAAAUGGGAAUCUGCGUAUCCACUGCAUCUUCAGAGAUUCACGAUCAAGUUGACAACGGCCAAGAAAAUGUUAUAUUUGUUGAAGGAAAUAUUGUUUCUCAUGGAGUUAAGAAACUUUGUUCCCUUUAUUCUAAGCAAGGAAGCAAAGGCCUUAAUCAAGAUGCAGGCAUUCUUUGCCAGGUUUGUACAAGUUGUUUCUUUCUUCGAGUUUUGUGCUUUACUGCUUUUGGGGUGUUUAUUAAAACUCGGAAACUUUUUGUUUGUUUAAAAGGGCUAUGGAACGGAAGAUGGAGAAUUCUGCGGAGUCUUUGAUGGGCAUGGAAAGCAUGGUCACGUUGUGAGUGAGCUUGUGAGAAAUCGGUUGCCAUCACUCAUACUAAGCCAAAAGAAUGCUCUUUCAAAUAGUAACGUUAAAGCAAAUGGAGAAGUGAUGAUGCCAAGCAUUGACUUUUAUAAAUGGCAAGAGGCUUGUGUUAAGGCCUUUAAGGUUAUGGACAAAGAAGUUAAGCUUCAAGAAAAUUUGGAUUGCUUUUGCAGUGGAACCACUGCUGUCGUCGUCAUAAGACAGGUAUUAAACCAAGUGAUUCUGUAAACAAACAAUGAAAUCAUUUCUUGCAAUUGUUUUCAGCUUUGGAUGUUAAAGAGUUCUAUUCAUUGUAAUCCAAGCAGGGUGAAGAUCUUGUCAUAGCUAAUCUUGGCGACUCGAGGGCUGUGCUAGGGACAGUUUCCGAUAACGGGGAACUCAAGGCUGUUCAAUUGACAACAGAUUUGAAGCCUAGCUUGCCCAGUAAGAAACUAAGAACCCUCUCGCUUUUCGCAUUCAAAAGUAUAAUGAGGUGAUGGGAAUGUUUAGUUGAAUUUGUUUGUGGUGAUUGACAAGCAUCUGUAAUGUAUAGGUGAGGCAGAGAGAAUAAAGCAAUGCCGUGGCCGAGUACUUGCAUUAAAGGAAGAGCCACACAUCCAGCGAGUGUGGCUGCCUCAUGAAGACACGCCAGGCCUUGCAAUGUCUCGAGCUUUUGGUGACUUCCUACUCAAAAAUCAUGGCAUAAUUGCAAUCCCUGAUGUUUCUUAUCGCCGCCUAACAUCUAAUGACCAGUUUAUACUUCUCGCAACCGAUGGGGUAAGUAUUUCGGAUUUCAACUGCUUGCAUCCCGUACUCUUUAUUCAGUUAAUAGAUGUUGCUGAUGGUGCUUAUUGCUUUUGUGUACACAGGUUUUGGAUGUGCUUAGCAGCAACCAAGUUGCAACAAUUGUUUGGGAGGCAGAUAACAAGCAGGAGGCCGCGAGAAAGGUGGUUGAGGCGGCAAACGCUGCAUGGAAAAAGAAAUUUCCAUCUUCAAAGAUGGAUGAUUGCACUGUGGUUUGCCUCUUCCUUCAAAAGAGGUGAUCAAGGCGUUAAACAAUUUGUGCAAAUGUUUCUCUGUAAUUCCUUGCUGCAGCAGAAGUCAAUCCUCCUGUGACUCUCUGUUCUGUUUCAUUUUGAAGCCUCAAUAUUCAACAUUGUCUGAGAAAAGGAUCACAAACAGCUGGUGCUUUGGUUGAUGAACCACUGUAAUCGAAGGAUAGGAAUACAAGGCUUCCAGUUUGUACAAAACAAUAAAUAAUUCAAUAAAACAAAAAUGGCCUCUCCAACACUUGCAAUAACAAGCUCUUAAUACAAAAUGAUAAGAGCAUUCUCUAUCCAAGAGUUACAUACCAAAAGCCUCCAUUGUCAUGGAAGAAAUCAUAUUAGCCAACAAUAAUCACUCUUUAAAACUAUUACUCUCAAUUCUCUCUUCUAAGACGGCGUGAAAAUUUUGUUCUGUUGCCUCUAUAUCCAUAUCUGUACCACCGCAUGUUAAAAAUUAGAAACAAGGCAUGACGGAUUUCCCAAGAAUCAAAUGGAAUCAUUCUUGGGAUCCUCUGCUAGCAGAUCAUCGUAUGAAACAGGUACCCUGAUCCUAUCAUGAACAGAUUUAGGUUUUCCUUCAGCACCAGACUUUCCAUCUUGAUCUUGAGGAACAGACUGAGAACCACCACCUAGAAUGCUGACUGAGGUUCCAUCAGUGGGUGCACCAACAGUUCUUUGUGUGGAAGCCUCUUUAAUUUGCUCUGGAGCAUGCCGGUUGUUUUGCUCUGGCACCUGUCUGUUGUUUUGUUGCCUAAAUUGCUUCUGCAAAAAUAAGAAAGAAAAUUGUAAUUUUGGAAUUAAAAAUUUAGCACCCUAGGAAGUUCAGAUACUGUACACAAACUCCCCAUACAAACUUCACCACUGCUAUAGCAAUGCCACUUCACUGUCGGAGUAAAAAAAAAGGAAGAGAGAAGCCAGAAAUUCUGCACAUACGAAACCAUAUCCAGGUCGAAAAAACGUCAUCCAAUUUUAACAGCUAAAUCCCCUGUUGUGGUGUAAGUGGACCACAGAAUAGGGGAAGCUAAUAAUAAAGGCAGAUUAAAAACAAAAAGCAGAGCAUGUUGGCAAAUGAGAAAAGAUUUUGAAGCAAAUCAUCACGCUUCUUUUUGUUUGAGUUUGCUUUCUUUCUCUUCCUUAGAGUCUGUGUGAGAUCACACACAAUUAGAACCAGGGCAGUUUGAGAUUUAUAGAACCAAACCCUAAUUGCCAUUUUUUUUUACAUUUCUCAUUACUCUCCAAUGAACACACCAAGGACGAUCUAAUACCUUUAAACAUAGGUAUGAAAAGAAAAGUAGCAUCUAAAUAACCAACUAAAACAGUAUUUACUGCAUAAAUUUCACACACACCUCAAAUUCCUUUGUCUUCUUUAUUAUCUCCUUGUAGGCCCCUGGUGCUCGUGCUUUAAUGAUGUUCCACAACACGCCGCCACCUGUCCGAAAACGUCUGCUAUCAGCAGUCAUCUGACCUCCACAUGCCUGAAUUGCCUCCACCUGAAAAUUAAAAUUUCAUCAUACAAUCCCAAUGGCAAAGCAAUGUUUACCCCAAAAACAAAACCCCAAAAAAAAGAAAGAAAAAAAGUCAGCCUAAAAGAAAUGAAAAUUUUCUAAUGACAGACAAUAAUAUCCAUAAUAAACCAAAUGUGGAAGUAGUACAAGAUUAAAAAUACAUAUAUAAAUGUAUACAAGCAAAGACCACAUUCCAUAGCACAAAUUCUCCAACAUAAACUCCAUAUCUCCAUGUAUGUACCUACAAGCAGUAGUUACAUAGAUCACGGUAUGUAUGCUUCCCACAACUAACACACUUCCACUCCCAACAGCAAGUUAAAAUAGCUUUAUAACUCCCAAAUUUCAGUCAACAUUUUCUAAUCAAACUAAAACCAUGGUCAAACGGCUAGUUUAUAAUCUAUGCUUUAUCUUCUGGCGCAAAAUACUUGAUGGAUAUGAAAGUUUCUUUAAAUAUAAUAAAAAGAUGAUGUAUAAUAAAGCAAGGGAGAAAAAGGCUUUCAUUUGAUAUUAAAGCCUGACAAUGAAGACCCUAAAACCAAGGAAAUUACAUAUCACUAGUAAAUAAGGGAACUUUAGCUUACACAAGCAGUGUAUAUGAAACAGAGACCUAAAACAGUACUUAUUUCCAACACUCACAUCAAAAUUUGAAUUCAUUGAAACAAAAGAUAUGAACUAACGUUUGCUCUAAAAAUUUGAAAAAUCCCCCCCCCCCCAAAAAAAAACAACAUAUCUUCAUUCAUCGGUAGCAUUUCUACUUAGAUUUUUAACAUAAAUCUAUGUAGAUCUAGGUAUUUCCAUGCACAAUGUUUGAAAAACUUGAAGGAAAAAUUAUAACAACCUACACAAAAAGUAAACGAUGAAUAGGUUCAGCCAUUGUAUAUCUCAGUUCAGAGCACAUAAUUUGAGCAGCAAAAUGGCUUCUGCCAGAAAGAUCUGCAAGGGUAUUGAAACAAUAUAGAGCAUCAGACAUCAAGAAUGGUAGAAUGGCUUUAAAUAGAGUGGAUAUAUAUUUCAGCUCUGGGCUGGUCCAAAUCCAACUACAACCCAGAUUCUCACCUUUCCUAAAAAAGACUCAAACAAAUCUUACUUUUGCAGAGACUUGAGUGGUUGAUUUCUAAACAUUACCAAUUGAAUUCGCGAAGUGGAGAAACUUCAGGAGAUAAGGUUACAUCAUUCCCAGAAGUAUUCAAAACUAACAUCACAGAUUCAGGACCAACAUCAGCAUAAUGCUGAAAGUUGUUUAAUGAAGUAAUUGGUACACAACAAGAUCUCAGCUCAAAGGUAUGAUUUUGGAUAAUAAUAUUACAACACACUCAUUCUAACACAAAAAGAUGCACAAGUAUAUCCAAAAAUAGGAGAUACUCGCACAAAGAUCACCAAAAACAAUAAACACCAAGUACUGCAUAGAUUUGGUGAAGAAAAUGGAGACAGCGGGAAACCUUUAAGUAAUCCAUGUACAAGUCCAGGGAUGCACAAUUAAUUUAUAAGCAUCAUAAUCAUAAUAAGUAAUAUCACUUUUAGUUUUAUAAUUCUUGUGAAAAGCAAAAUUAGGUAGAAGUAAAGGGAGAACAGUACCUCCUUAACGAGAUCACUUAGUGCAGGAAUGCCAAGACAACCAACAGCUGUGUAUACCAUGUAAGAUUUCUUCUCUUUUAGCCGCUUACAUGUGUCUGAAACAAACCUGAGAACAAUAAGUACUAGAUCAUCAGAACCACAAAAUGAACUCCUACAACCAAUUGUCCAACUGAGUGAUAUACGUAAGAGUAAGAAUAUAACCUGUUUACAUCAGUAACAUUUGGGCCAGGACCACUCCUCUUUUUCUUAUUCUUCUUCUUAUUUGCCCUCCGCCUGCGGUUUUUACUUUGUGAACCCUGAUUUCCUGCACUGACAUCCCCACUGCUGCUCUGCUCCACAUUGGUUUGUGAGCUUGAAUUAUGCUCCACAAGCUCUCCUUCCUCUACAUCAAGCAUCUCAACAUCUUCGCCAUCUUCUAAGUUAUCUUCACUAUCUUCAUAUAUUACUCCUAAAAUGCUCUCUCCUUCAUCCAUGUGAGUCCUAAAACUACAAAAGUAAAAUAAACAAUGAUUUAGAAAGGAACCACACCGACAAAUUAUAUUAACUUUGAAAUCGAAUACUGAUUAGGAUUACAGUUUCCUUAUCAUUGUUUUCCCCCUUAGCCCACUUCAUACCACGAACACAACUCACAACUAAGCCGCCACAAACAAACUUUAUAUUAAAUUAUUUGAAAUUAAAAAAAGGACAUAAAUGCAACUAAAAAAAAUCUGAAAAAUGGUGAAAAUCCUAGUGAUAGAAAUUCUUAAGCUCAAGUCAAAAAUACUGCUGUACGGCCAUUUUUUUUUUUUUUUUUGUGGUGACAGUAAUUAGUUAAUCGCCUAAAGAAUAAGAAACCAAAAAUCCUACAGAAAAAAAAAAAAAAAAUCGCAAGAACAAAGUUCACAAUAUAACUCAAAACCCUAGUAAUUGUCAUGUUAAACUUCAAAACUCCCCUGUACCAUGCAAUCAGUUACCUGACAAUCGUAGAUUGAAAACCUCAAACUAAAACCUUAAUUAGAAAAGUGAACAAGCAAGCAUGAAAUGUAUCUUUUAGAAUUCUAAUAGUAUAAUAGGCACUCUUGAGAAACAACAAAUAGGCGGUGAGUUGAGCUCAUGUUCACAUUCAUCUACGAGGAAAGAGGCCAUGAGCCACGAGUAGGGGUGGGAAGAUCGGGUUUCAGUUAGUGUUUUUCGGGUUUCGGCUUGGGUUACAAUCCGUUGGGGUUGGAAAAUUCAAUCCAAUCGGGUUCAAAACCCAAACACUGAAUUCGAUUUUCGGAUAGAAUUGGAUUAAAAAUUCAGGUCUUCAUUUAGAUUGGGGUUACAAUUCGGGUUACAACCUAAAAUUCCAUAUUCAUUUUCAAAUGAAUCAAAUCCCAACCACCUAAAAUUCGAAAUUCAGUUUCAUAUGAAUCAAAUUCUAGCCCAGAUCAACUGCAAAGGUUGUUGCUUGUCGAUGGAAGAAGAUAUUAGAAAGGUAAAUAAAUAAGAGAAACUCAUAACAGUUGUUAUUUUUGACUUAUUAUUGAUGAUGGCUAACACCUUCCCAACAAACCCAUUUCUUUAAGAAUACCACGACACAGAUUAUGGAAUCAAAAGAGUAAACAACCAAAUUACAGUAUUUAAAUAGCCAUCACCAUUGCAGUAUUUAAAUAACCAUCACCCAAAUUACAGUAAACAACCAUGAAUAAUAGCACCCAAAGUCCCAAAUUACACAAAAAAAAAAAAAAUCUUACCUUUUGCGGCUGACGACGGCGAACGAAGACGGAGGCAGUGACUGGCGACGGUAGAGACGACAGUUUCAGCUUUCGGCUGACCAACGAUUGAGGCAGCACCGGCGCAACUGAAAGGAGGUAACAGUGGCUGCAGCGUGGCGUGGGUGGUUGUCAGCUAAGGGUUAGCGGUUGCGCUAGGGAGAGGAAGAUUACGUGUUUUUUAUUAUGCGUUUUAUACCACUUUUGACUUUUGUUUUUUGUUUUUUUUAAACGGCAAACCCGAUCGGGUUUUUUUUUUAUUCGGGUUGAAACCGAACCGAAAAGAAAACUGAUCGGUUCCAAAUUAUUCUCGGGGAAUGAGAAUAGAGUUAGACUAUUAACACUCCUCCAAAAUUCUUUUAAAGCCGCUUUUUCAGUUAUACUAAAUUUAUUACUAAAAUUACUCUUAUUUCUAAAUAAAUAUAUUUAAUUUGUGAAUUUGUAAAUUUUUUAUUUUUUUUGCUCCUCACAAAUAAUUUUUAUCGGUGAUAAACUUCUUGACAAAAAUCAAUGAAUUAAAUAAAUUAUCUCUAAAAUUAUGAUGUAAAAAGUUUUUGUACGAGUCUAAAAAAAGUCAGAUAAUUUUAUCAAAAUGUGUUUUGUUUAUUAUCAAUAGAUUGUUGUAUUAAUUGAAGAAAAAUUUAUAGAGAAUUUAAGAAAAAAAAUUACAUGUGCGAGUGUGAUAGUAGAGAAAAUAUAAGAAUUUUUUUUAAAGAGAAAAAAUAUAAAAAUUUAAAGUGAGAUAAAAUAGACGUGAGAUAUAUUAAAGUGUUUGUCUUGAAAUAUGAUUGUAAUAAAAGAGGGUUUGAAAAGGAUUAUGGAGGGGCGCCAAUAGUCCAACUCAUGAGGAUAUCCCUGGGCUCGUUUUGUUUUAGCCAACCCAAUUAAUAAAAAAUCCAAGCUUCGGCUAAAAACUUGGGCUGGACCAGAAACAGACGUGAGAUAACCAACCCAAGUAAUUACCAGUUCCUUUUAGACCCCGUUUGCUAUAAUAUAUAUAGUUUAUUAAAAUUGGGUAUAAAAUUGGUGUAAAAUAGAUUCAAAUUUAUCUCAAAUUAAGCACUCUGAUAUUAUAAUUAAGAAAAUCCAGAAUAAUAAAAGUGGAGCCUAAAUAUUUGGAUAAGAAAAGAUGAGCUUGCGCUGGGGCCUCAAACUCAAGGAUCAACAUGGCGUCAAUUUCCUAUUGGAAUAGGUCUUUCAAGUUUUAACACCCCUUUAAAUUUUUUAUAAAACCCUUUUUUUCUCUAUCGAAAUGAUUUAAAUAACUAAAAUUAAUUUUUUUUUUCGGGAAAGAAAAAUUCUUCUUUUAACAAAAUUUUUACACCCAUCCUAUUUCAUAAAUUAUAAUUAUAUUUCCAAAUUUUAAUAAAAGAUUAUUUUAUUGAAAAACUUAUAAGAGUUCAAAGUUAUGGAGAUAAAAAUUAUAUAAUAAAAUUAAAAUAAUUUUAAAUUAUAUAUUUUAAAAAAAUUAUAAAAUGAAAACAUAAAAGAAAGAUCCUUUUCUAAGGUAAUAUUUUAUAGCAAAAUGUUAAUUUUAAUCUACAGGUAUAUAUUUUAUCAAUCAAACUAGUGGUAUUUUAGGAAUAAAAUUAUAAAAAUAAAAAUCGUUGUUGUAAGGAUUUUAGUUUUUAGAGUGAUGUAAAAGCUCCACUCUUUCGUAUCACGCAAGUGUCAGUACACAGACAGCCACAGAUUUCAAGCGGACGACGAUAGAUAGGAUAAGGCACAAAAUAAAUACAAGCGAAAAAUGUUAAGAACGAAUAAAUAAAUAUCUUUAGAAAAGGAAAGUGGGUGGAUCUCCCACGAUUCUUGCUGUUAAAUAAUGUUAAAUUCUUGAAUCUGACAUUAGAGAUUCAGGUUGGAUUCCUGCUCCUGGGGGCCCAAUUAUUCUAUGCCACUACAUCAUGAAACUGACAACUACAAUGACUUUCAUUAUCUUUAAUGCGUCAGAAUUGCCGUGCGUGGCAAGUGGCCAAUAGCAGCAUGACAGUGGCCGCUGCCCAAUUGCAAUUAUUUUCAGCGUUUGCAAAUGCCUACGAGGCUGCGAGGUUGAUUCCCCGUGAGCUUGAAAACGAAAACACCCCAGGCUGCGGGCUGCGGCUGCUAAUUAUGACUGCUUUGUGUCUUUUUUUUUUCCUCUUCUCAAUUAUUAUAAAAAACAACAAUCAUCCGAUAAAACAGCAAAUGCAUCUUCCCGGGACCCAGUCCGAAAUUCAGAAUCUUUUGAGAUGAAACUAAAAUUGUUGCGUUGAAGCACGGCUCCUCUUUCACUUCCUCCAAUAAUUCCGCAGUACACGCCACUCAGGCACUGGCGGUAGUGGCGGUUGGUGGGCUCGUCUCACACUCUCAGUGAAAAGUUAGAGGUCACAAGCAGAUUCAUGUUGCGCGCGGAAGGGAAGGGAAGGUUAGCCAGUCGACGCCACAAUAAAUUUGAGUAACCAUUUAUGCUGCACUACACGUAUAUCUAUUUAAAUUCUGAAUAAAUUUUUAAAUUGUAAUAUUUAUAGUAUGGUAAUCGAUCAUAAAAAAAAAAAGAAAAAAGAUAAAAAUCGUACGUAAACUACGCAAUAGUCCGAAAUUGAACAGCACAUGGCUUGUCACUGUGUUUCGAGGCUUAUUAAUAACCUGUACGUGUCCUUACUGGCAAGUGGCAACCUAGGCGUUCGUGUGCGCUGCUUUCGGUGGCCCAAAACCGAAAGAUAGAUGAUGUUGAUUUCUGUGAAAGAGGACUUGAAAUGAAACCAACCAAUGUGGAAAACUUUAUCACGGCAAAUAUUUGGAAUCCACAAUGGUCAAAUCUACUGUUAUCUAUCUAUAUAUAUUUGGACCGAGGGCUACAAGGUGAUUCUCAAGCAAGAUUGAUUUUUUAUUUUUAUUUUUUAUUGAACAGUCUUGAGCUUAAGGCAUGGAUAUUUUUUACAGUCUAAAUAUCACUCGGGUAGGAAACUUAAAAUCUCAAUUAAUAUAAGUAAAUCGUGGGUAUAUAUUAUGGGCAGGUUCAAAUUUGUGAGAGUGAAUUCUAACAAUUGGUGUGAUUUAUGGACAGGUUCAAAAUGGAAACCCUUACUAUUAUCAUAUGAUAGCAUUGAAUAUAAUAAUUCAAUAAAUUUGAAUUAAUUUUAGUGUGUAUUUGGGAUUGAGGUUGAGCAGCUGUAGUUUAAAAAGUUACAGUACUAAAGUAUUUGGUAAACAUUAACUGUUGUAACUUGUAAGCUAUGUUGAUAUAAUUCUUUACUUGUAUAAUAAAAAAUUUAUUAUAUCUUUAAUAAAAUUUUUUAAAUUAUUAUUUAAAUUUUAUAUUUACUAUAUAUUAUUAACUUUUGUUUGAUAGUGACAUCUUUGUUUUCAUAGCAAUUCUAGCUUAAGAGGUACAGUACUUCAAUUCCAAACGGAACCUUAAUGAAUUUGACUAGAUAUUUAACGUCCCUCCUGCUAAAAAAAUUAUUGAAUAAUUCAUCAAUUGGUAAUUUUUUUAUUAAUUCAAUUCAUGAUACUGGUAAAGAAUUUCAAAAUCAAAGGUAAAAAAGGGGGACAAAAGGUGGUUGAAGUGUGCAAGCAGGGAAAGGAUUCCUUAACCAAAUGGGCAUCAUCGCUUGCUGUUUACUGCCGAUUCUGUUUUGUCUUACAUGAAUGAUUUAAAUUGAUUCCAACUGAAUUCUGAUGAAUCGGCAAGGGCCAUAGGCCGUGGCCCAUGGUCGCGUUAUCUUUAUGUGCACGAUUCCAAAAGAUUCCCAUCGAAGUCAUUCUCACAACAAAGAGGCCAAGUUGAAAAAGUAUCUCGCUUGACAUUUAUUCCAAGUUUUGGUUAGAAAAAAAAAUGAGAUGAUAGGACAUACGUGUGUGCUUCACCAUUCGAUAAUUUCAGAUUCGUUUGAUUGAGCGAUUCUUAUCUCUGUUCCCCGGCUUAUACUUUUUUAUAAUUUAAUAAAAGAAAUUAUUAAAAAUAUCACAAAGAGUGUUUUUAUGCUUUAGAAAACUCGAGAGUUAGGUAGAGUAGAUUUCUCCAAAUUUAUUUCUAUGAGAUUUAUGUAAUUUCAAGCCAAUUUAUGGGUUACAUUCAUUAUUAUUGUGCUAAUCACGGCUAAUAUCCGUUUAAUAAUAAGAAUAAUAAAAUUAAUGUCAUAUUCAAGAAAAUCAAAGGACGAAACACUAUAUAUAUAGUUAUUAUCAAAUGUGGAAAAAAAGAGAGAGGUAACACAUUUAUAAAUUAAGUUAUUGAACUCAACAAUGAAUUAUAAAAAAUAAAAUGUCUUAUACUUAAAAAAAAAGAUUGUGUCUUUCAUAUUUUAUUUACAAGGUACAUGAUGAGUCUAUUGUCUACAUGCAUAUUAUAUACGUAAAUUCCGUUCACAGUUCAUCGUAUUCUCAUGAAUUUUAUUUUAUACACUCUUUUAUUAGGAUAAACCCUAACAUACAUUUAAUGUAUGUUACAGCCACUCACACCACUCAUUGUUCAUGUGAAUAGUGUAACAUACGUUAUGUUAAAAGGAUCCUCUUAUUAGUUAUCAAAAGAUUUUCGAAUUUUACAAUAAUAACAAAAAUAAAUAGUCGUUUGCACUAAUUUUGUGUUCCGUGUAAUACGGUCGGGUGUGUUUUCCAGGAAAAUGAAUAAUUUUUAUUUUUUUCUGGGAAAAAGAACAAAGACGUGAUGGGCCGAAACUCUCUUCGUUUGACGGGAUGAAAAGCAGACGAAAGCAGCCAAUACAACAACAUUACCUAACGAUUACCGGGGCGGCUAAGUGACCCCACGUUACAUCGCCCGUUUAUCCAACCUCGAAAGGGACCCAACCGCAGUCAUGCUAAAUUACCCCGGCAUCCCCUGCACUUCACACUUCCACAAUUCACGGCACGAACCUCAUGGAUCUUUCUUUCAUCAAUGCUGACGUACGGCUGAGACGCCUGGUGGCUGGUGCAGCUGACAUCAACUUUUGUUAGAAGAUCGGUUGCAUCUGGACCGUCCAUAAGAAAAUUAUCCUCACUUAGGCUGACGUGUACGUGCCAUCUGCAACCUCACUCGCUUUACACUAUCUAAAAUUCUCAAUUUCUCUAUGCAGAAUUAGAAUAAAGUAACGCUCAAACGUAAAAUCAACGCGACCCCAAACGUUUUGAUGUAUUUCAUUUAAAUUAAGAGUUUGAGCAGUCUGAAAAAUUAAUAUAACAAAAUAAUUUAUUAUCUUUAAUAAGCAGUGAAAUGAGAGUUGGGAUAUUAUAUUUGAGCUCAUAAAGAAUAGCAUAUAAAUCUAAUCAAGAAUCUCAUACGCUAUGUCGACUCAUCUAUUAUUUACAUUAUUUAUUUAAUAUAGUUUUUUGAUAUUUUUAAUAAAUACCCAUUUAACAUGAUUUUAAUAAAUAUUUUAGAAUAUUUAUAAUGCUGCAUAAAGUAUAAUCAACUUAAUUUUAAUUAUAACAAAUAAAAAUUAAAAUAUGAUCAAUAUAAUAUAGUCUUAAGAUUUCUAAUUUCCAAGUAUAAUUAUUGAACAAAUGAUUCUGUCCUAAUCGUUAGUUUUAACUUUUAACCAAAUAAGUUGGUAAUUUUGUAAUAAAUAGGGUAUUGAUUAAGAAUUUUAUAAAUUAUUUUACCCAAUUGAAAUAAAUUAAAACAUUUUUACCCCUUAUUAAUAUUUUCCCGUUUAAAAUAAAAUAACAAAAGAAAAAAUAUAUUGUCAGCAGUGCAUCACUCGGUAUUAUAAAUAACAGAGCUCUUCCUCCCCACAACAACAUUUCCAUAACUAGCUCCAGCAACCAAUCAACCCCCUUCAAAAAACCAUGACGCGCCUUGCCUCCGGCGUGCUAAUCACGCUCCUAGUCGCUCUUGCAGGAAUCGCCGAUGGAAGCAGAGACAUAGCAGGUGACAUUCUGAAGCUACCAUCGGAAGCCUAUAGGUUCUUCCAUAAUGGUGGGGGAGGGGCAAAGGUCAACGAUGAUGAUGAUUCUGUCGGCACGAGAUGGGCCGUCCUGCUUGCCGGAUCUAAUGGCUUCUGGAAUUACAGGCAUCAGGUCUGCUAUCUGAAUUUUAUUUUUUGAAAUCACGUUUUAUUUUAAUAAAUUCCUUGGAAUUACCAAGUUUUAUUCUUUUCGUAAAUAUUAUAAUGAAAGUUUAUUUUAUUUUUGUAAAUUUUUUUCUUUUUCUUUUUUUCAUUUUUUUUUCAGAAAGUGAAGUAAGGUUAAGGUUUUCUUUGAUGCUUGUAUUUAAAAAGCUCGCCAUAAAUUAUGUCUGAAUAUUGAGAAUCUCAUUUUGCGCGUAACUGUUUAAUUUACGUAAGCAGCAAGUAAGCCGAGACAAUCAGACAAAAGAAAGAAUGUGAAAUUCAUUUCAUGUUUUCGGUUUUUUUUUUAAAAAAAACCAAAUUUCCAGUUUGUUUGUGCAACUUAAGCACUAUCUCUUAAAAAAAUUAAUAAUAAUAAUAAUAAUAAUAAACAAACAAACAAACUAUCACAUAGCUUGACAUAUUUCUUAAUUGUAUCAGUCUGGUUAAAGGUUUUCCCCAAUAAAAAAUUUUGGUUAUUUCUUUGAAAAACAUAUAUAUAUAUAUAUAUAUAUAUAUAUUACUUUCAUUUAUUUAUUCAUCAUCUCAAGUGAAACUUUUGUGAUUUGCCUGUGAGUGACAAUUGUUUGUGUACACUGUCAAUGAUUGUAUGAAUCAGAGGCAAGAUUUCUUACUUUAAAUAAGUGGGUAACUGUAUUUGCACCUUUUGUGUAAGCCGCUUGAUGUAAAUAUUGCUGUUAGGGGAUUUGAUUUCCUAUCAAGUCCACUUUUCAUAUAUAUAUAGAGAGAGGGCAUUCUUACUUUGUUAAGGUGAGAAUGCCAGCAAAAGACAAAAAAUAAAAAUAAAAAUUUCAAUAUACUAAUAGAUUGAAAUAUAUGUUUUUUCGUAUUUUAGUGAUAUCUUAUUUUGUUAAAGUGAGGAUGUCCUCAACAAAGAAGGACUCUCUCUCUAUAUAUACAUGCACACAUACAUGCUUUCUAAUUAUGAAUUUCAGCAUAUUAUACUGUCUAUUGAUGUCAUAAUCAUAUUCUGUGUAGAGCUUCAUAAAUCAUUUUUUGUAUUUAUUUUAUUUUAUUUCUAUUUCAGGCUGAUAUUUGUCAUGCUUAUCAACUCUUGAGGAAAGGUGGGCUGAAGGAUGAAAAUAUUAUUGUUUUCAUGUAUGAUGACAUCGCUUUCAAUGAAGAGAACCCAAGGCCUGGAGUCAUCAUUAACCACCCCCAUGGCGAUGAUGUUUACAAAGGAGUUCCAAAGGUCUCUUUCCCUCAAGAGUAAUUCUAGGUUUACAUAAUCCUCUACAAACUCUACUCAUAUAACAUGUUGUGGCAAUUUUUCAAAGAAAUAAAAGCAAAUAAAUAGUGGGGAACAUAUGAUAGUGAUAUAAUAAUGUCACAUCCGUUCGUAUGGGUAGAGUUGUAUAGGAGCUUGUAUUCCUAUUCUCACUAUUGCAUCAAAGAUCAACCAUCUGAAUAUGUGAUAAAGUUCUUUAUUACUACUACUACUAUUAUUUUUUUCAUGGUUUCUUCUUUCAUGUGGCAGGAUUACACGGGGGAAGAUGUUACUGUUGAAAACUUUUUUGCUGUUGUCCUGGGAAAUAAAACAGCUCUUACAGGGGGCAGUGGGAAGGUUGUGGAUAGCGGCCCCAAUGAUCAUAUUUUCAUAUUCUACUCAGAUCAUGGUGGCCCUGGGGUGCUAGGUUAGUAGCCACGAUUCUUCAUAAGUUCCCCACUCUGUCUUAUAUUGUAUGUGUUUUUUUUGUGCUGUUUGAAUAGUGGCUGUAGUUACCCGAAUUAGAUGGUGGUGGUCCUUGGGCUUGGAUUUCUUCCAUCUUAUGGUCAAUUUCUGGUUUUAGUUCAGCGCGUGUCAUAAAACUUGAUUUUGAUUCUGAAGUGAUUUUUAGAAAAUAGACACCAUAGAAUUGGAUUAUCUUUUUUUCUUUUGGCCCAAAUCAAACCGGUUUUGGUGGUAUAUGACUGUCACUAGAAAAACCCUGUUAGAGAACGUCUCACAUGGUUUAAAGAUUCAAAAUUAUUUUCUUUAACCACUAAAGGCAUUUCUUUUAUGGUAAUAUUAUAUUUACUGAGUCGGGAUUCAUAGUUUGUAUCUCAAGUGAUGAAUCACCAAUCAUUAAUGGUCAUGUUUAAGUUUUGGUUGAUUUUAUCAUUUAUCAAUAGGGUGUCAAUCUUGCAACGUCAGAUGCCACAUCACUUGCGGUGCAAGCUAUGUAUAUAAACAAAUUCUUCUAUUAUUAUUAUUAUUAUUAUUUAUUUAUUUUCAUAUUUGUGAUUUUACUGGGAAUAAAAAUUUGAUUGUGUUGUUAUGCUGUUGCAUGUUGUUUGAAGCCUAGGCCAACAUGACUCAUGUAAAAAUUGGUUACUCAGAAGGUUAAAAGUGUAUUGGUUUUACUUGAAAUAUCCUACCUUAUUUUUUCAACAGAGUGGAUAUAUAUGUUAUAACCGACACUAUUUUUAAACUUCUGUUGUAAAAUUGACUUCUUAGUUCACCUGUUUUGUGAUCUAUUUUAGGGAUGCCCACCAGUCGAUACAUAUAUGCUGAUGAACUGAUCGAUGUCUUAAAAAAGAAGCAUGCUUCUGGGAACUACAAAAGCUUGGUAAGUAAUUGGUGAACUGCCAUUUGACAUGUGUUCUAUUUCGAUAAAAGUCUUGGCAAAUUGAAAUUUUUGUUGGUUUCAAUAUCAAAAAAUUUAGGUAUUUUAUCUCGAAGCCUGUGAAUCUGGAAGUAUCUUUGAGGGUCUUCUUCCUGAGGGCUUAAAUAUCUAUGCAACCACAGCUUCAAAUGCUGAAGAGAGCAGUUGGGGGACCUAUUGUCCUGGAGAGAUUCCUGGUCCUCCCCCUGAAUAUAGCACUUGUUUGGGUGACUUGUAUAGUAUUGCUUGGAUGGAGGACAGGUAUGACAACAUUUAUGAUUUUAUUUAUUUCACUUUGGCAACAUUUUUCUGUUUCCUUGAGUAACAACAUGUCUAUGUCUGUCUUCUGUAAUCUCUGAAAAUAGAAGAAAAGUACUGGUUUGACCGAAUUUAUUAACUUACUGAACAAAACUUUUCUAAAAAUUUAUCAUUUUGUGCAGUUUUUUUCCUAGAGAAGCAGUGUGUGCGUGUGCCUUUUUUUUUUUUUUGGGUGAAUUUUAAUAUUUUGACCUUUGCACAGUGACAUACACAACUUGCGGACAGAAACUCUUCACCAGCAGUAUGAACUGGUAAGAUCUCAUUGAGACUUUAUUACUUCAUCGAUGUUCAUUAUACACAGAUAAUGGUUAACUCAGUGCAAAUAAAAUUAGUAACAGUUGGCUUUUUAAGAAUCCUAGAUCCUGCUCUUACCUGCUUGUUUUGAUAACCGCUAAAAUCAGUUUUUUUUUAUUUUCGAAAUUUCAGGUUAAAACAAGGACUGCUAGUUACAAUUCGUAUGGCUCUCAUGUCAUGCAAUAUGGUGAUAUCGGUCUUAGCAAGAACAAUCUCUUCACGUACUUGGGUACAAAUCCUGCAAAUGAUAACUACACUUUUGUGGAUGAGAACUCCUUAAGGCCAGCAUCUAAAGCUGUUAACCAGCGAGAUGCCGAUCUCUUGCAUUUCUGGGACAAGGUAUGUAUCCAACAAUGCACAUAGCUCAUUAAAUUGAAUGCUGCCUCUCUAGCGUAUUUUAUUCAUUUACUUUUUCAAUCCCCAAUGUGGGGAUGGAUCACAAUUCUAUGUUCAACAUGGGUUUGAAAGUUUGUCAUCUCGUUGUUGAGGUUGGUGUAAACUGUAUAAGGGUCUUAUGAUUGGUUAAGUUGGAAUUAGGAAAAGAGGUUAGUGAUGUAACAAAGCAUGGUAGUAGCUUGAUAUUAAGAAUUUUGGAACCAUUUUUAGGUAUGCCAGUUCUCUAUUAUACCCAAAGCAGUAUAAGCAGAGUCCAUUGGCCAUUGGGUACAAAACCCCUAUAGAACAUGUUGUUUCUAUUUGCUUGAGAUGUGGAAGUUUUGGUUACCCUGCUAUGUUACCUGUGGAAAUAACAGUCAGAACGCCCUAAAUAGAUUUUUUUUUUUGGGGGGGGGGGGGGUGAAUUGUAAAAUAGCGACCCUUUCUGCAGUAUGUCUGAAAAUUUUCUCCUUUCUACUUAAGAAUAUACCUCACUUUGCCUAUCCGUUACUUUAAUAGUACCGCAAGGCACCUGAGGGCACUCCUAGGAAGGCUGAAGCUCAGAAGCAGUUUUUUGAAGCAAUGUCUCAUAGAAUGCAUGUAGACCACAGCAUCAAACUUAUUGGAAAGCUCUUAUUUGGAAUUGAGAAAGGUCCAGAGAUCUUGAACACUGUUCGACCUGCUGGUCAGCCUCUUGUUGAUGACUGGGGCUGCCUCAAAUCACUGGUAAAAUUCCUGAUCAUCAAUUCUUGUAUUUUUUAAUCCCUUGACAACACUUAAAAUAUCAUUAACAAGGUUCUUUUCUGUCUAUUCCUCUGUGCAGGUGAGGACUUUUGAGUCGCACUGUGGAGCUCUAUCGCAAUAUGGAAUGAAGCACAUGCGUUCUCUUGCAAACAUCUGUAAUACAGGAAUUGGGAAAGAGAAGAUGGCUGAAGCAUCAGCACAAGCCUGUGAAAAUAUUCCUUCUGGUCCUUGGAGUUCUCUCGACAAAGGAUUCAGUGCAUAAAGAAGCCGAGAACUGUGCGAAUAUCAUAAGCCAGUCUUGAAAUAUGUUAGUUUUCAUUAUAGUCGCCAAUAUGGCAAUAUCUAUUUUCAUUUGGCUGAUGAUUGCUUCCAUUUAUGGCAAUGUCUAUUUUCAUUUGGCUGGUGAUUGCUUCCUUGUAAUUAUUAUAUUUAAAAGCUCUUCCCUGCCAGACCGCAGUUGUAAUUUGAUAGUAUAUAUUUUGGAUGUAUGCGAUGCUAUUUUAUGCUUAUGUAGCUAUAUUUGUUCCUGAUUUGUAGACCGUGCAACUCAACCCUCUUCGUGGUGUUGCUCUAAAUAUUGAAAUAAAAGCUCUAAUUUUGGAUUAAAAAAGAUCGUAUUGUUCAGCAAAUAUGACAUUUUUGUUACCAGGGUAUUAGAACUUCUCACGGUAUUAAAAUAUUGUUAUAUCAUGUUUGUUAAUUACUCAUUUUAUUUUAACAUAGUCAACACACCCUUAAAAUAUAAUCAUAGUAAGUAGCAAGCAAGCAGAACAUAAAAUUUUCAUCAAACAAAUUGUAAAGGAAAAUUACUUUCAACUUUUAAGUCAUGGCUGUAAUUAUUGCCAGACAUUUCAAAAGAGUCUUUUAGACAAAUUUCUCCGCUGCAUUAACCGAUAACGUUGGCUUAGGAUCAAGCGUUUCUUCCUUCAGCUUCGUUUUCCCCUUCGUCUUCUUGAAAAUCAAAAUAACAAUCCUCCACACUUACGUAAACAAAUUUCAAAACCAAAAUUCACACCCCAAUCUUUCUUUUAACGGAAACUCUUCCCCAGAGUUUCUGCCUGUAGGACUUAAAUAUUUUCCUAAUAAAUCCUUGAUAUAAAACAUUAAAAUAAACAGGGGUCGAUCAUCUAGUCAGCGGCAAAAACAAAGUAAUAAUUCAUUCACGGAAAUACAAAAGGUAACUUAUGGUCUUCUAACACUGUGAUAUACCGACUACUACUAUAUAUGUUUUCCAGAACACGAACCGAGCAAAUACAAAUCCAGACCAAAAUUGCAAAUACUCCCAUCCGAAUGCAUAAACCUGUACGAGAGAACCCCGCACAAACACCACCAAUCAUAUCUGCCAAUUCACGUAGCAGGACUUCCCCCUUCCAUAACUUCAGCAAGCUGGUUUAGCUUGGAGAUUUGCCUAUCUUGUCAGCAUUGAUCUAGCAAGCCUGUAAUAACUGAUUUACUGGCAAUCAGAGGGAGCAAGUAGCAUAAUAAAACAAUCAUAGACUUUUGCCUGGCAUUAUUGUAUUAAUCAAUUUCAUCUUUGUUUUCAUAAAAGACGCAUACAAAAUAAAAUUAAAUAACAAUUUAAGUUCAGAUGUGACCAUGAAUCUAUCCUGCCAUCCAUUUUAUUCUUUGUACAAAAGUUAAUCAGUCUAGGUAGGCUGACGAAAAACACCUAGAGAGGCCACACCAUCAUAGUCAUUCAGGCAUGUCUAUGCAAAUCCAAGAUGCUUAGAUGCUAAAAUUCACAAAUACCCAAGCUUUAUGUGUAGUUAGCAUGCCUUUCAAUUAACAGCAUGACAUACAGGUUCCAUUUUCUUUCUCUACAUUACGAAAGCAAUUUCCCAUGCCAUUAUGUAUUGCAAAUUUAUGUGAGAUAAUAAAGGCAACUGGAGACAUCAGCUUAGGUCUGUCUAUACUUAUAAUAACAGACUAUGCUAAUUAUUGGUAUUUACAGGCUUAAACAUACAAAGAUAAAACAACUUGUAAAAUCUCAAUUUACUUUCUAAAAGAAAUUUAAAACCUUUUCGUCAAUAGAAGCAUAAAAAAGUAAGUUCCAACAACAGAAAUAAACUCACCAGCAAUACAGCAGAUAUCAGAUAGCUGCUUCAGUCUCAACGUCUGCCCCGAUCAUCUUCAUGCUUGUACGCAUACCUCCUUCUCUCACUUGACCGAGAAUCAUCAUAUCUAACUCUCUUGGAGUAAUCCGCUUGUUUGUCCAGCUCAUUUCCCUUACUUUCUUGCACUUCUCCCUCCCCUCUCCCAUGCUUUCGACUACGCCUCUCUUCUUCCUCCCCUCUCUCAUGCCUUCGACUACGCCGCUCUUCUUCCUCCCCUCUUCCAAGCCUUCGACUUCCUCGCUCUUCUUCCUCCCCUCUCCCAUGCCUUCGACUUCCUCGCUCUUCUUCCUCCCCUCUUCCAUGCCUUUGACUUUCUCGCUGCAGCUCUUCAUGAUCCUUUCCGUGCCUUCCAUAUUUGUGUUCUUCAGCUCUCCGAUGCCUUCCCCCUCUAGCCUCCUCUUCAUCCAUGUUUUGCCUUCUAAACCCUGCAUGCUCUUUGGAAUCUUCAUCAUCCCCCCUACGACCAUCCUCAUUCCCACGUGGUCUGGCGUUCAAUUCAGACUCCGGUUUUGCAUCUGCAUGAUGGCCUUCGUGCAUUGCAUCCUUCCCAACAAUACUACUCCUUAACCUUGCUUCUGGUCGCUCCUCCCUGUUUGCCUCAUCAUACUUCCUCUUGGCCAUCCUCAUUUCCUGAUGUUCAUAGGUAGACCUUCCCAUAUCUGCAGCAUCUCUUUCAUACUGGUACAGACUUCGCUCCUCUAAUUUCCUCAGUGCGUCUAACAUAUCGUCAUCUUUUCGACCAUUUCUUUCUCUUUUCCUGUCACUUCCAGCAGGACUGUACCCAUGAUCACUUCGUCCACUUCUACCACUCAUACCAUUUCCACUUCCAGUUCUGUUUUCACCCACACGGUUCUUUCCACUUUUCUUACGUCCGUAAUCACUUGCACUGCUGUCUGAAUCUCCGUCACCACUUCCCUUGUCAGACUCACUCCUAUUUCUAUUGCUAUUGUCCAAAGGAGACUCAUUUUCGAUCGCUUCAGGCCUUCCAAGGGAUGCUUUAUAAUUUUUCCUCCCAUAGCUGGAAUCUGAGUUUUCAUUAUCAGAAUUAUGCCUCCUACUUAUCCUGCGCUUCUCAAUUUUAUUGCCACUGUCAUCAUCAGUGUCAUUCCUUCUCGAUCUCCUCUUUAUCACAUCUGCAUCAUCAACAUCAUAGCCUUGCCUGUUUUUCCCAUAACUAUCAUAGUUGCUCUUUUGGUGAGACCUUAAGUCAAAAUUUUCUCGCUCCCCUCUGCGGCUUCCACCCAGCUGAUUGCCCCUUUUCUCAAGAUGACUUUUAUCCUUUUCCAUACCAAUACCAUUAUCGAAAUCAUCCUCAGAAUCAUGACGUACACUUGCUUUCACAUGCCUACUCCCCUUCCGAGUCCUGUGCUUAGAUGAAUCUUCAUCAAAAUCAGAACCAUUAUCCGAAUCAUGUCUCCUAUGACUUUUUCCAUAUUUCUCAACUUCCUUCAUGGAACUAACCUUACCAGUGUCAUCAGAAGAAGAAUAAUCUGAACUAUCAAUAGAAUGUUUUCUGCUUUUCUUGUGCUUCUUCGAAGAGUUCCUCCUUUUCUUAGGGCUUUCACCAUCACUGUCACUGUCACUUUCACUAUCACUUCUCAGGCUAACCUUACGAUUCUUCUUUGGCACCGCUCUUGCAUGCUUACUGCUACCAGCGUCAUCAGAAGAAGAAUUAUCUGAACCAUCACUAGAAUGUUGUCUGCUUUUCUUGUGCUUCUUUGAAGAGUUCCUCCUUUUCUUAGGGCUUUCACUAUCACUGUCACUGUCACUUUCACUCUCACUCCUCUGGCUAACCUUACGAUUCUUCUUGGGCAUCCUUCUUGCAUGCUUACUGCUGCUAUCAGAAUCAGAAGAAUCGUCUCCAUGUCUUCUCUUUCUGCCAUUACCCUUAUGGUGCCUGGUCUCAUCCUUCUUAAUUUUCUCAUCUUUAACAGUCUUUUUCUGAUCAUCCUCCACAAUUUCCCCCUCUUCUAUCACACGUCUCUUCCGAACAUUCUCUCUAUCCAAAAAGGCAUGUUCGCUUUUCUCAUGCCACUUACCGUCAUCAUUGGAAGCAUUCUUUCGACCAUUUCUUGGUGCAACAUCACUUCCUUCAGCCCCUUGUUCACUAGCUUCAAUCGUACCUAUACCAAGUGCAGCUCUAAACAUUUCCAUUUGUUUCUCCUUUCUAGCAGCAAUUUUAUGGGUCUCUGUUUCUGAUACCCUGAACAAGCAAGGAGAAAAUUAGAAGUUAAUUCCUAGGUAACCUAUACAAAAAUUUCCUACUGAGAAGACAUGAUUAAUCAAGUAAAAUAACUCGGGUAACAGAAAUCUCAAGUGUAAAAUAAACCUGAAAAUGGAACAACUAUUACAAAGACGAAGGAAUUUCCAAGAAACAAGAGUAAGGGAAAUUAGAAAAAAAUUAAUUCCCCUUUAAUGAAUCCCAUUCUGAAUUACAUAUAUGCCUCCAGAACAAAGCCAUCAAGGAAGUGAUUCAACAAUCCCCUUGCAGCCGAAAGGAGAGGCAAAAUUGCAGGUUCCCUAAUUAUACAUGCUUCAAACUUCAAACACAAGCAGGACAUACUAAAAACAUACCAAUUGCUUUAUCACACAUAUAAAACAACGCACAAGAAAACUAACCAUUCAUAAUAUUAUAGCAGUGAAAAUAAAUAAAACUGACACGCUUAAAAGUUACACACAUGAAAAAAUGUCUACAAAAAGACAUCUCUACAAACUGAAGUGGUAUGAGUACUUGAACUGUACUUGUUAUUUUUCACUGUUCCAAUCAUAUCAUGUCACCUCAAGAAUGAAAAUUUGUAUGUAUCUUAUUAUUCAUAGCAAGAAUUACUUACUUUGCAUCAGCGGCAGGCCCACCACUUUCCGCUGAAGCUGAGGCGACUUCAAGAGUCUUCCGAGCCUCCUCAAGCUUCUCGGCAAUUUCAGCCUCAGUGUAACCCUGAUCAACGAGUUUGUCUUCGAGCACCACCAAUUUGAGUUGAAUCUGGCGCUUACGCUCAUGCUCGAGGAUCUCCUGGUUCGGUUUUCUGGUGACUCCAGCCGUUCCCUGACCCGCUUCGAAUCCCUUGACGCUGUCGGUAACCCGACCUGUUUUGGCCUUCACAAAAAACUUGUUCGUUUGUAUGUAUCCGUUGGUUCCGGACCCCCUCGGGGUCUGUAAGCCGAUUCCGUUAUACAUCUAACGAAAAUACAAAACAAUUCUCAAUCUUCAGCAAAAAUGAAUUUAUAGAUCUUGAAUUUCAAGAUCCCGAUGCAUGUGAUAUUUCGAUCGGAGAAAAAAAAAAUCUCACAAAUAAAAGCACGAGAAUAGAACAAUUGGAAAGAAAACAAAACGCACCAGUGAUUAAUCGGUUGAUAUGAAACGUGAUAUCUGAUUGAUUUAGUGUUAUCUUCUUUCCCCUUAACUCGGUGAUUCUUCGUUUCGGCAAUUCAGAGAAAGAGCGAAACCCUAACCUGAUCGCUUAGUGCUUGUAGGGACAAUUUGAUUUGACAAUAAUGUCCUCCAUUCGAGGCCAAUGAAAUCUUAGAUAUGAAGGAUGUUUAUGUCUUUGACCUAAACUUUUUGAAUCCGUUUUUAUCUCGAUUAAAUAAAUAUCAUCCCAUUGAUUGAUAUCGACCCUUUUUUUUUUUAAUUAUGUUAUACAGAUAUGAUUAUUGAUAUUAACAUUAUAAUUAUAAUAUUUAUAAUUAUAUUAAACAACUGAGAUCACCACCAUACAUUAAUCUAUUGAAGCAUUUGUUCAAAUACUUUAAACACUCUCUAAUAUUUGAGGGAUGCCUACUCUACUUAUAUUUUGUAAGGGAGAGACUGUCUACACUCAAUUAAUUGAUAAUUAAGAAAAAAAUUGAAAAUAACUUCCAUAAUACUCUUGUGGAGGCUUGAAUCGUUACACUCAAUAUUAUAAGUAUAAGACUUCUCUCAUUGAACCAAAGGCCAUUGGUGAUUGAUACAGACCUUUAGAUAGUACUACAUAGACCUUUUCUUUUAUUUUUUUUCCUUUAUUUUCCCCUUUAAUACAGAUUUACAUAAUCCAUAAAUCGUAAUAUAGAGAGGUCUAAGUAAUCGGAACACCGACAUUACUUUCGUGUCGGUCUUGUUUUGUUUUGUUUUGGCUUGUCUUUUUAUGUGAUUGUUAUCUCAUAAAGUAUUGUUGUUAUGAACAAUUUUAGAGCAAGCUGAUCUUGUGCACGCCCUCGCGUACGUUAUUAUAGUGUGCGAUUGGCUAUUAUGUUAAUGAUGAGUUCUUAUUAGGGGCUUUCGAGCUACAGCUGAGCUUCCUAUAAUGGGAGCUUACCACGCAUGUCAUAACAUGUAUGACAGCGUGUAUUAUAUAAAGUUGUUUGUGUUAGAUAUAUCAGAUGGUAUUUUCAAAGCACUCUGUUUUUUUUUUUUUUAAUACUGAUUAAUCAUCAGAUUACUGCAUUACACAGAUAUUUACAACAACUGCUUAUUGUAGCAGAGAUAUUACACUGAUAUUUACAAUCAGAUAUACAUGAUUGGGACUUACAUUAUUACAAUGAAUUCUAUGAAGUACAUGCCCAGACAAAUAACCCCUCACAGGAGAGGGAUGUCCAUACUCCACUUGCAUUUUGCAAGGGAGAAGGAUUUUUUAAAUAUAAAGAACAUUUAGCCCCCACAAAAGCUUUGUAGGGGCUAGAACCGCUGCCCUCACAAGUAUUGUGUUGUGAGGGCAGCAGCCCACCACUUCGGCCAAGGCCGAAGCGGCGCACUCUGUUAAAAUAGUUGAGUGGUAAACUGCAACUCUCACAAGUUACCAUUGUGAGAGCUGCGAUUUAAGUUCUUAUAGCAGAUUUCUAUUUCUUCUUCUAAUUAAAAAUUGGGUUUAAAAAUUGGGUAUAUAUUAGAAUCUCUCCUGUUAAUUAAAUGCAGAACAGAUGUCUAAGAGCUGUAAUUUAAGUCACCAGAAAAGACUUCUAUUCCCAAUUAAAAAUUGAGUAAAAAUAAGUUUCUAUUCUAUUAAAUGGUGAGUAUUGAGUAGAGCAGAUGGGAAAUUUGUAACCUACCCCCAAAUAAAUUGACAUUUUGCACCACGCCCCCAAUUCCAUUAUUUUAUCAGUUAAGUUUAACGGUGGAGGGGUAAAAUUGAAAGUUUAUUUCUUAAAUUAAUUUUAAUGGGAAUUCUCUUUAUUGUAAUUAAAAUAAAAAUCUUUAAAAAAUUAAAGAAAAAAUAAUAGUGGUGACAAUGAACAUGUAAGAAGAAUUGUUUUUUUUAUUGCAAUUGAAAAAAAAACCUUAAAAAAUUAAAUGAGCUAAAAAUUUUGUUUUUUUACAUAGAGGGGCAUUUUUGUCAUUCAAUCAAAAGUUAAACGGAGCCGUUAAACUUAACUAAGAAAAUAACGGAAUUGGGGGCGUGGUGCAAAAAUGUCAAUUUUUUUGGGUGCGCAGUGCAACAAGUCAAAUUUGUUGGGGACGCGGUGCAAAAUGUCAAUUUAUUUGGGGGUAGGUUACAAAUUUUCCUAGAGCAGAUAUUCAAUAUAUGAUGUAAAUAUUAGUACGUAUUAAUAAUUUUAGAGAAAAUGUUAUUUUUAAGUUUAAUAAAUAAAAAAACAUGCGCGAUACAUGGUGUUAUUGAUUAAGCAAAUGAUCACUUAGGCUUUAGGAAUAAAAUUUGAUGCUUUGAACUUUCAAAAUCUCAACUUUGUUCAUUACAUAUGACUUUUUAUCAUUCAUGAGCUUGUAGAGGUAUUAUAAACAAUUAUAAUAAGUAAUAAGCUUACAUGGGGGCAAUAUAAAGUUUGCAUUCAAAUUGAUGAUGUGGUAGAUGAUAUGAUUUUAUUUCGUGAGGUCAUUUGAUAAUGGAUUAUUAACUCGGAGUUUGGCAGUUUUCUGCUUAUUUAAAUCAAUAUAUAUAACUUGUUUUCAACUAUAUGUAUAGUAUUCAAAGAUAUGUGAGCACAAACAUUUAAGCGAAAAUAGAUAUAAAUGAGUUAUUUAUUUGAUAUUUUAUCUUAAAAUAUUAAAUAAUGGUUAUUAGAAUUUUUUUUUCAAAAUUAACAAAAAGUAUAAAAAAAUAUCUUAUUAUUAAUUUUUUAUUCAUACUGAAACUUAUAUUUGUUAUUUUUAGUAUUUAAAUCUUUUAUUCUAUUUUCAAUUUAUAUGAUUUAUUCAGUUUAUAGUUAAAUCAAUAAAGUGUACUUGAAAAUAAGGAUUAUAUUGUAAAAUUAUGGUACCAGUGAGUCAUUAGGUAUUAUGAAAAUAAUAGGGAGUAAGUGAUAGAUAUUGAUUUCAGUGUAAGAAAAUUGACAAUUUUCCUUAUUAAUUCUUAUCAAUUAUUAUCUGAAUAGUGAAUUUGUAUUUACUAUCAUAUUAAUUCAAAAUCAAAUUUUAUAUUCUAACUUUAUAAAUAUAUUUAUAUUUUUACCCUUUAAAAUUGUUUUGAACGCUCAUUAAAAAAAAUUAUUGCCUAAUUGGCUUUCAAGGAAAUUACUUAGAUGGCCAUAACAAAUGAAUGAACAAUCUCUUUAUUUUCCGUCAAGUGGUCAGCUCUUGUACAUACUGCAUGGACUUGAGAAGGUGACAAAUUGACCACACACCGACAUUAUUUUAGGCAUUGUUGCAUAGGCCACGUCAAAGCCGUUGAAUUUGAAGCGCACAAAUCCAAAGGCCCAAAAAUAGCCACGUGAUGCUAGUUAAUGGAGAAAGUGACAGAAUCGACCGUAAAUAAAAGAGCAAAUUGGCAAAGGAAACACCGUGAGGUUAAGAGAGACAGCCAGAACAGUUGAGGAAACUACUUCUGCAGUACUGUAAGCGGAAAAAAAAGAAAAAAAAAAAGACGUACGAAUCAAGCAUUUUAUCUAUUGAUAUCGCAGAGCCUUGCAACAAACGUUGCAGAAAUUGGAUUAAUAAAAAUCAAACUUUAAGAUCUAUGAUCCUAUGCUCCAAUAAUAAUAAUAAUAAGGGUUAUUAUUAUUUUAUUACUUUAAAAAUUAUCAAAUAUCAAAUAACUACAACAAAUAUUAUUUCCUAUUAUUUUCUUACUAUAUCUUUAUAAAAAUAGCAUUUUACUACUUUUCUGUUAUAAUCUUGACAAACAAAAUACUAAUUUCACUCUUCAUGAUUAAAAAAAAAAUACUUAAAGCUUAUUUACAAAAUAAAUUUGUAAUAUAUUUAUUAAAAUGGAUAUAAAACACCAACAUAAUUAUUUUAACUGGAAUUAUGAUAUAUGGAUUAAAAAUUUAUCUUAUUAUUUUUUUAAUCAUGAAGGGUAAAAUUGAUAUUUUAUUAGUCAACUAACGGGUCAACUAACGGUUGUAAUGAAAAAGUAGUAAAAUGAUAUUUUUAUAAAAAUAUAAUAGGAAGAUGAUAGAAGACAACACUUGUUGUAGUCAUUUGAUAUUUGGUAAUUUUUGAAACAGUGAAAUGAUAAUAACUCUAAUAAUAAUAAUAAAGAUAUAUGAUUGACCGACUAAGACCGUAACCCCCUUCAAUAAUGUAUUUACUCUUUUCAUCCAUGCUCGUUAAAUUAGAUUGUUUCAAAUCUAACGGCUCAUCCAAAAAUGAAAAAAAAAUACAAGUUAAAUACAAGGUGUUUUUUUUCCCCCAAAUAGAUUCUCAUUAUUGCAAGACAAAAUUUCAAAAUAAACAAGUUAAAUGUUGUAGAAAAUCUUCACCUGUAUAAGAUAAUAAUAAUACCUAAAUGUGAUUUUUAACCAAAGCAUCAACUGCUCUAUUAUAAUUUUUAGAAACAUGGUCAAUCUUGAAAUCUUACUAAAUUAACAGUAGAUACUUCUUAUAAUUAUUCAAAAUAGCUUAAUACAAAUACAAUGAAUACGAGGUUAUUUGUCCUUGUUACUAGAUAGUGAAGCCUUUGAUGCAUAAUAAAAUGUUAAAAAAUAUGAAUUAACAUAAUAAGAUCAAAGACAAGAACUAUAUAUGCAUUUGUACUAUUAAACAAUUUUAUUUGCUAAAGUUUGUGUACUUGUUAAGACCUUGAAGGAUUUUAUAAAAAUAUUUAAUUGGAAAAUGUAUGUUUCCCUUUCACUUUUUGAGGAAAACAAUUUUUUUUUCUUUUUUAAUUGAAGGAAAGAAAAAUCAAGUCUAAACGCAGUAUUACACUCUUUAGAAACAUACAUUUUCCAAUUAGAAACAUACUCUUUAGAAACAUGGCCAAUCUUGAAAUCUUGCUUCAAUAACAGUAGAUGCUUCUCAUAACUAUCCAGAAUAGCUCAGUACAAAUACUAUGAAUAUAAGGUUAUUUGCCCUUUAUAUUAGAUAGUCGGGCCGUUGCUGCAUAAUAAAGUGUUAAAAUAUAAAUUAACAUAAUAAGAUCAAAGACAAGAAGUAUAUUUGCAUUUGUAACAUUAAACAAUUUUAUGUAGUUAUUUAUUUUUUAACUUCGAUCUUAUACGCAAUUAAUUUGCAAAGUUUGUGUAUUUGUUAAGGGAUUUUAUAAAAAAAUGUCUCGUUGAAAGAUGCAUGCACCCCUUUCAAUUUUUGAGGAAAACAAUUUUUUUUUAAUUGAAGGAAAUUUUUUUUAAUACAAUAAAAGUCCAAACAUAUUAUACUCUCACAACUACAUGAGAAUACUCAAACUCUCCACUUUAAUAUUAAGGAGAAGAGUGAUUGACCAAUAUUACCAAGGGAUCAUUACCAAUAAAAUAAAAAAUUACAGACCCUAAAAUGUAACUUUAAAGAAUAAUAAUAGAGUUAUAAAUUCUUAUAUAAGUAAUUUUUAUACAAAUUGAUAUGGUAUAAUAUCAUUGGUUGAGUAAAUAUAUAAUAUAAUAAAGAUAAAUCAUGUGGACAAUGUGUUGGUUUCAUUCAACCAACUAUGUUACAAAAUUAAUAUAAAAAUUUAUAGAUGUAUCAUUACUCUAUUUUAAGCGAACACAUUAAAAAAUCAAAAGCAACUUUGAGAUCAUAUCACUAAAAUGGUCCGAUUAAUAAAAAUGUAUAUACCACCAAAAAUGACCAUUAAAAAUUAAAGCAACUAUAUUACCUAUAAAAAUGACAAAAUUAUUAUAAAUGACCACCGUGAAUAAUGACUGCGUCAUUAAAAAUAAAAUAAGUUAAGAGAACAUUAGAACACGUGCAGGUCAUUUUAUUAUUGUUGUUUAAAUGUUAUUUAUCGCGAUAAAAUACCAAAAUUGCCCUUAUACCUAUCGCUAGAUUCACAGGUCUGGUUAAAAUUAAACCAUGGUUAGUUCACUCACGUGAUUAACUAACCCUACUGUUACUGCGAUGCUCUAAUAAUGAGCGCCCCCACACCGGCUUGAAAAAAAAAAAUUCAACAAUAAACUAAUAAUAAAAACAUAACCGUGGUUUGAUCAGUCACGUGAUUAACUAACCUUAUUGAAUGUAACUCAAUACUCUCUAAUAAUAAGCGCCACCACACCGGCGUUAAAAACAAAAAAAAUUGCAACAAUAAAAUAAUAGAAAACAUAUCAGAAUAAAUAAUGAUAUAAUUCAACAAAAAUUCAACGUCGUUAAAGAUUCCGUUAGAUUGAUGAAGUCCGUGAGGUGAUAAAAAUUUGCCACGGGCGCAUGCUAACUUGAUGAUAGACGGGUGUCGACGGUUCAAAGGAGGAGUAAUCAGGACCGUUUGAUUGAUGAUUGAUGGUCACGAAUGCUCGGUGUGGAACCGAGAGUAUGAAAGAGGGGUAUAAAACUGGUUUUAAAAGGGAGAGAGAAUUUCGUUUAUCAGAAGAAGGAAGGAGAGCACUUUGUGUUGUUUGUUCUCUCUCUGGUUUCUCUGCGAAUUUUCAUUCACUUUCUUUCGUUUUCUCAGAAGCCAAACAGACUACUUUGGCUGAGAAUUGACGAGAAUAUGAUAACGGAAUGUUGAGAAUCUGAAUCCAAUAGAGAGAUAGAGGAGAUUUAGAGGUGUGUAUUACCAACACACUUUUGUUUUUCAUUAUUAAGAAGAUCAAUUUAAAAAAAUUGGCCGGUAUAAUUGUUGUUUGGUUCAUGCUUUAGUUUACAGACAAAUUCAAAAUGACAAAAGACGACAUGGUUCAGUUGGCUUAGUGUUAAUUCCGUAUAAUUCAUCCUCUGAUAUAAUCAUUUUAUUUGUUUUGCAGAUACAUUUCUUAAGAGAAUAGAGAAAUUUCUGUAAGGGGAAGAUCAUAAUCUCUCAUUAGAGCAGGAGAUUUUCAAGUCUUUGAAAUGCCAAUCAUUUCGCUGAGAAGCUGAUAUACAUUCGAUUUGUAUUCUGCCGACUGAAAGAAGCAAAAAAUCGGCGAAUUUGAGAUAUUGGAGGUAUAAAAAACAAGCAUAUCGAUUUUCAUCUCGUCGAUUUAACUCGGGACCGGUUCUCUUUCAUUUCAGUUUUGAAUCGGUUUCCACUUGCUUCUUAUUACGAAGCUUAUACUUAAGUUCGACUCCGAUUCUCGUUUUUUCAGCUGUUUGGCUCUGGCGAGAAUUCAUCAUUAGCGUCUACAAGAAAUUUCAGUUCCAUGAAAAUCUUGACUUGUUAUUGAUGAAAUAUUUUUUUCGUUUUGAUUUUUGUUCUUUUGACCAUCUCUCAGUCUCGUCUUAUUCGAGCUUUAAAAUUUUUGUCAGUCUCGUCUUAUUUUGAGUUUUAGCUGUGGUUGCUUCUCAGAUUUUUCUCAAAUUACCUACGUUUGGUUACUGAGAAAGAAAGCAGAGAGAAAAAUAACAUCUCAGAACUUCUUUCCAUUCUCGAAUUGAUCUCUAGAACCAACGAAUUGGUUCUGAUUGUUGCAAUUCACGAUCCUUCUUUAUUUUCUUUUUCGAACAUUUUCUCGGCAGCCGAGCAAAAGCAUGGAGCUUGAGAAAUUUUUUCUCCGCUUUCUAUGCGUAUUCUUCGUCAGAUCCUCUGGAGUGAGUACGUCUGUGAUCUAUUUUUGAAUUAAAAUUCUCAUUUUCACUGCUGAUGACUAUUACAGCAUCACUCGGUAGAGAAUUCUGCAUUUUUUCAUUUUGAAAAAUCCUUGGCUGUCGGAUCUUCCUCUUCCAGUCUUCGGUCUUCCUCAGUAUUCAAUAUUUUUGUUGCAUUUUAAUAUAUGUGAUUCUUAUGGUAAGCCUACUUUUCUUCUCAAAAUUUGGGAAAAUUCUUAGCCGUUACUCUAAAAUUUUAAUUUUAAUCAUUCGUUUUAAAUGGCGUGGAAGUUGCCGGAAAGCCGAAGCCGUAUCCAAAUUGUUCAUUUUGUUUUUCUUUUUUAGUAUAAUUCUGCAAGUUAACCGUAAUUUAGGAUGAGUAAUUGUAAUUAACUUAUCUGAAUGGGACAGGUUUGCGAAAGGAGAUGGAUAAGGACUUGUUGAGAAGCGGUAAUAAUGGGAGCACUUGCAAAGAUGGGGGAUUAUUAAGAGCUAGCUCAGAGAUCAACACUAGGCAAACGGCGUCGUCUGAUUUCGUCUUACAGUGGGGGAACAGGAAGCGACUCCGGUGCAUGAAAGUUCAAGUCAAAGACGAUUCGUCCGCUUCGGCCCAUCGGACGACGGUUCGAGUCGUAAGAACCGACAAAGACACGUCCAAUCAGCCGAGUACUGCCACCGCUAACCAUAAUAUUGGUAACGGUUAUUUUAAUCUCCGUCGACGGCCAUCUUCGCCUCCGCCACCGCCACCGCCACCUCAGCGUGUGCUCAGGUAAUAACUCGGUAUCAUCGUUUGUUUGAUUUUAUGUUUGAAUAAAAACAGAGAUUUGUAUGCUUAUUCUUACGGCGCGUAUUAAACACUGUCGGCUGAGAUGGUGGAUCUUGUUUUUAGCUGUGGGGUUGUUCGCACUGAGGGCCUGAGCCUGAACCUUCGCUGGUGUUUGCGAGGCAACUGUAGUGUUGUGUGUAUGACGUUUAGAUAAUUGAAUGGGUUGCGCGUGGGCCCGUGACGCGCUUUGUGUCCGUGUUCGCAGUUUAGUGUUAGCUCCUUUAUUGUUCGAUUUCUAUAAUCCACAUUGGCGCGGAAAAAGAUUUCGAUCUGCUCUCUUUGAUGGGUCCCUUUUUACCCUUUAUCUUUAAUUAAUGGUUUUCUGCCGCAAGAAAUAUGUUUUACCGUGGUGAAUUAUAUUUUCUUCUUCAAUUGAAUUGGUGUUUAUGUUAAAUUAAUGUUGAAGAAAGAUAGUUGCCCUUUUCAGUAAUAGCAUGAAUUUGGAUCACCUUUAGUCAUUAGUCGCUGUUGGUACACGGUCACUGUCGACAUAAUUAGUUUGUGUAAUAUCAGUAAGCCCGGAGUCAUUCUGCAUUUCUGCUGAUAUUAUUAUUAUAUUUUAAAUUCCAAUUGCAGCCUUUAUGCUUGUUUUAUAAAAUUGGAAAUAAUUAGUUCAUAGUCUGGGAUAGUAUGUCCCUUGGUAUUGUACUAUGGUUUGAUACAUUUGUCUAUUUCUGGUAGUGGAGUGGACUGUUCCAGGAAUAGAUAAUAUCAUAUGAAUACUAAGCUGGCGUCUGAAUCUUGAUGCCUAAUAACAUUUCAGCAUCAAAUUAUUUUGCUUUUGCUGAAGUGGAGGUUAGUUGGAUCUACUUGUUCAUUACAAGAUGAACUUUUAAACUUCCAAAAUUGGGGCUGAGUACUUACUUAUGAGGCUUAUACUUGUCCAUUCACUAAUUGGUCAGGUUGGUGCAAAUCAGAACUCAGGAGAGCUGAUGCCUGAUGGUGAGUUCAUAAGGUCAGGGUGUCCUUAUAUUUACUAUUGCUUUAGUUUCUAGGAUUUGAGUCUUGCUAAAGUGGGUUGCCCAUGUCAUUUCACGAUCCUUAGAAUCUAAUAGUCGCGUUUGAAGUGUGUGAUCUAUAGAUAAUGCACUUGAGAUUUGGGGAUAGUUUCACUUAUUUAUAAAUUUGAUUAGUUUCUAGACUUUAGCAUAUAAUUGGUGAAGUUUUAGAUGGUGCAUUCUCCCAAUAUUACAUUUACUGAUUUACAUUCUUAAUUGGGAAAUUGGCUGUAAUCUUUGCUUUGUUAUUUGACUGAUCUGCGGCUGCUAAUUGUAGUUUUAUAUGGGGUUAUAUUUUUAUUGUUCUCGUUAUAAAUUGACAUUCUUUAGAACGUUUUUUUAUUUUUUAAAAUCUCAAAUUGCUUCUUUUGCAGAAGAUAAAAAUAAACUGAUCAACUCACAUUUUUCCUUUAUUUUUUGAAUAAAAAUGAGGGUAAUUUGAGAUUUUGAAAAGUGAUGAUUUGAAGAUAGUUAAGUCUCACAAUUUAUGUUUUAUUCUUUUCUUUUUCUAUAUUGCAAUCUUAUUGGACUGAUUUUGUUCAAAGUUGUGCAAAAGAAGAUUAGGUUGAUUAGCAUUCCUAAUCAAACUACUCUUCUUACUCAAUUGUGCUACUCUUGACCUUUUGCAUUUGCCUAGAGGGUAGCCAACUUGUCUUGAGUUCAUCACGCCUGAUUUUAGCCCAUAACGCUGCCAAAGCGUCCUCACAUGGUGGACUCGUUGGAACUUGGAACUAGGAAACAUGGAAUUAGUAAGUUCCUGCCACGCGUCCAAUGAUGCCCAAGUCUAAUCUCAACAAAAUUUCCGCCGUCGAUUGUAAUUGUAUUAGGAAUCUGGUCCACUCUAUCCUACAUGCCAACCCAUCCAUCAACACGUAGCCCAUACCUUAGAAAAGGAAAAUGAAUCCAACGGCCUACAAACCGCCCAUAGGACCAGCUGUGCUCGUUAGAUCGAGAUUAGAAUCAAAACUAUUUUUCUCAUGGCAGCCAAGUUAGCAAAUAUCAACACUUCCUAUUUGUUUAAAAAGCGCAAUCCAAAGUCUCUCCAAAGAAGCCAAAAGAAAAAAAGAACUCACCGUAUAUGACUUUCUUCUCAAAUUUAGCCCGACUUUACUUGAUCACUCCCAAGGUUAUUUUCGUACUUGCAUAAAAAUUCACUUCAGCACAUCACUUUUUUCACUUUUUCCUUAACACUCUACUUGACUGUAUUAAAUUUCAUUUUUAUUUCACAUGUUAUGUCCAGUUAAUUGAUGUGUUGUUAUGUGUGUAUUGUUUGUUAGGAAUUCUGAGAAUUCAAGUGCCAUGAGAGGCCAAAGCAACGGUGGUGUGAGAGGUUUUGCUUCACCAGAUAGGGGUGCGCACGAUAAGAGAGGUACCCGUCACAACAAUCACAACCACCACAACAAUGAUUAUAACAAAUCAGGGGCAUCAUCGGAAACAGCUCAUGAUAGCAAGAAAGGUGGAUCCUCUUCCGCUAGUGGCGAGGCGGCGCCACCCGUGUGGCCCCCGAAAUUUGUGAUUGCUUUAACCAACAAAGAGAAAGAGGAAGAUUUCAUGGCCAUUAAAGGGUCUAAGCUGCCACAGAGACCCAAAAAGAGAGCAAAGUUUAUUCAACGCACAGUCAAUGUAAGCUUUUCUUAUUCUUUCCUUGUUUAAUCCUUCAUGAUAUCUAGACUUAUCUACGAUGUUGUUUUAGUUAUUUUAGAAUUUAGAUUUAACGAAUUUGAUUCUAGUUGCAAUUUAAUUAUCGUGAAUAAUCAUCUGUAGGAAUAUUUUAUUGGGGUACAACAUUUAGGAGCACAAGGUACAAUAGAUCUCUUGCGGCCUUUUGAUGAUAUUUUGGGAUGGGACACGGUUUUUAAGAAUGUAGCUGUUACUACAAAUAUGGUUGCUGGGUCGGACCCUGAUUUAUGUGAAACUAUGAUCUACUUUAUUAUUAUUUUUUUAUUAGUCUUCAAUUUUUGUUUUCGCUUAAAAAUAGGGCUGUGUGUAAAGUGACCAGUGAGAUAUACAUGUCCACGUGUCGGUAAAGGCGUGGACGUGUACCUAAAAAUGACCUGUAGUAACGUUAGCCUCCCAGUGACCGAGUCCUGGUUUGGGUGCGGGAUGUAGAAUAAAUUAACAAAAAUCUGGGGUGGGAAUAUUACCCUUGCCCGAGUUUUGUGCUUUGAUAAUCAAAUUUCUCUUGAUUUAGUCGGAAAAUUCCAUUAAAGUAAUGGUACAUAUUUUAAAUCUUUUGUUUUUAAAAAUUAUUCUAAAUAAUGUGGCAUUCCGUAAUGCAGUAAUUCAUACUUUACUUCGUGGGGGAGAUAAUUGAAUAACAAGAGACAAUUGAGUUGUCAUUAAGUUUUUUCUGUUUUUGAUUUUUUUUAUGUUUAUGUUCCAAUUUAUCAAAAUCAAAUAUUCUUACGACCAAUAAGAGUUACUUAAGUCAAGAUUUUACCGUAAGAGAUUAUCACGGUAAUACCGCAAUUUUGAAUUUAUUUUACUUUUCUUGGCUACGGGGAGUUCUUUUUUUUUUUUUUUAAAGAAAGCGUUGAAAAUGUUGGAUAUGUGGAAAUGAGUAAUAAUAGAGUUAUAAUUACCUUCUAUAAGUAAGUGUAUAUAAAUCGAAGUGACGUGACGGAAUUAGUUAUAUAAAAUUAUUAUGGGUUUAUAUAAUUAAAAAUUAAUUAUUAUUAUUAUUAUUUUUAGCUAAUUUUUAUCCGUCAUUAAUUUGUAUAAAUUAUAAAAUCAUUCGUGGGUUUAUCAUUUUACAAGAAUAUGAGGGGGUAACAGAAGGAUAAUUUUUAAAAACGUUUGAGCUUGUUGCAAGUAGAUGGCGAGAAUUAGUUUAUUUGUAAAAAAUCUCCUACCGUCAAUUAAUUUUAAUAUUGACCGUUAGUUGACUGUGCAAAGACAAUAUUAUCCUUAACAAUAGUUUGUAGACGGAAAUAACUAAAAAAAAAUUAAAAUUAUUGGUUAUUUUACACUCUUUAAAUUAUUGAUAUUUUUUUAAAGUUUCUACAAAAAAGAUAAAAUUAAAAACUUGAAAAAUUUUCUUUAAAUUAUUGAUAUUUUCUUAAAGUUCCUACAAGAAAGAUAAAAUUAAAAACUUGAAAAUGAAAUAGUCAUAAUCUUUACUUAUGAUAUUAUAAAUCUUUGGAAUUGACAAGGAUAAUAUUGUUAAAAAUAGGGUUUGUGCUUUUCGCGCCAAUAAUUUUAAUUUUUUUUUUAGUUAUGUCAGUCUAAAAACUAUUGUUAAGGGUAAUAUUAUCUUUGUACAGUCAACUAACGGUCAAUGUUAAAAUUAACUGACAGUAGGAGAUUUUUUACAAAUAAAUGAAUUUUUGUCAUCUACUUACAACAAAUUUAAACCUCAAGGAAAGUUUUUAAAAAUUAUCCGGUAACAGAAUGCCUUAAACGUGGUACGUGGGGUCAACAAGGACGUGGUAGUACAGAGCUGGAAACUGUAUUUUUCUCUUGGUUUUAACUUUUAAACAUUAUGAGUGUCUCAGAUUGAGAUGGAGGGAUCAAUCUGCAACACGUGUACGAUGGCGAUUCAAUAGACAACACAAACUUAUCAACGAAGUAAGGUCCAAAUACUCACCAAAGGUAAUAAUAUUCUUCGUAAAAGUUUAACCGACGGAAGCGGAUGGGCCCUUUGCCCAUUAUUGUGGGGCAUUUCCGUAAUAUGGACAUUGCUUUUUGGUGAAUUAACUUUUCUUGUCUCUAAUAGUUUUUAAUGAUUAAUUUUCUCUUUAUUGAAAUAAUAUUUAAGAAUAAUUUAUAAUAAACAAUGGAGGUGGUUUCGUGACUCUUGUAGUGGUCCUCCAGGCUGGACCACACUGACAGUGCGUGGAGAGCAAAGAUUGCACGUAGUUUUUCGUCCAUAACUUUCUUAAACGCACGACUUGUAGACGAUUCUUUUUGCAAGUAGUUUUUUUCUUUUUGAGGUUGCAAGUAUCUUCUUGCUUAUGGUGGAAUUAUUUUUUUUUACAAAUUAAUUGAAAUCAUAACUGUUUUAAAAAAGCACAGGAAUCUCUCUUUAUUGCAUCCCAAUCAAAAUCAAAAUCUGAAAUUAAAGGCCAAAGUUGCAUUGAGUUUAUGUUUUUCUUUGCAGCUGGUAAGUCCCGGUGCAUGGCUAUGUGACCUGACCCUUGAACGUUAUGAAGUUAGAGAGAAGAAAAUCUCCAAGAAGGUACUUUUUGUAUUACAACUCCCCAAUUGGAGAAGCAUUUACAUUAAAAAUUAAUGGAGCAUAAUGUUUGUAUCGGGGAUCUAAUCUGAUGCAGAGACCGAGAGGAUUGAAGGCUAUGGGUAACAUGGACUCAGACUCAGAGUAGAGGAAGAGGAAGAUGAAUAGCUGUUGAUAGCUGUUGUUUUUUGUUUGUUGAGAAUAUGACAAAAUGUUGCUACCCUGUAAAUCGUUACCUUUCGUCCCUCCCUCUGAGAUGAAUGAAAGGAUAAAAUUUUAGCCAUAUCUUCUCUCUUCUCUCUUCUCUCUUUCUCUCUUCUCUCUUCUCUCUCUCGGUUAUUUUAUUAUUAUUAUUAUUAUAGAGGCAUCAGGCAUCAACACCUGUUUUUGUUUUGCUUAUAUUUUUCUUUUGUUUCAGCUUUAUUUAGGUGCUGGUUGACUGAGCUGGUCACGCUUUAGGCCCAGUAGUGGGCUACGUCCAUUUUGCUGGUUAACAAGUUAAAAGCUACUUUACCAACUUGGUAUAACCUGUCUAAAGUGGGAGUGACGAAUGUGCCACUAGCUUUGCUUAUAGACAAAGCAAGGCUAUUUUCGCACAUUACAAGAUGGUUGAGCUGAAGUUCAUGAAUAAGCUCAUUGGCUACUGGACAAAUAUGGAGUACUAAUAUAAAUUAUUUCUGCACAUUUUAUUGUGCAAAUUAAUACGAAGAGACCUACAUCAAUUAUUUUUUAAGUUAAAAAAUAAUCAAUUGCACAAAGCGUGCAACAAUAAUAUAAAGGGUUUCGAUUAUGUUGGAGUUUACUUACAGUGGUGUGUGAACUUCAGUCAUACAAUAAUAUAUAAGAGUUUGAUUAUGUUGGAGUUCACUUACGGUAGAGCGCGAAUCUCAAUCAUACAAGGAAAGUGAUGAAUAAUAAAAAAUGAGUUAUUUUUUUAUUAUUUAUUAUUUUACGUGUAAUUAAAAUUCGUAUUUUACCGUAGGUGAAUUCCAACAUAUCAAUAACCUAAUAUAAAAUGUCAUCUCAAACUGUAUUAAUGGAAUAAUUAGUGCUUGUUAAAGAGUUUAUAUUUCUAGAAUUUUUGAUUUAGUAUAUAAUUAUGUAGGGCAAAGCAAACGGGAAUCAACAAUUACGUGGUAGGGUCCACAAACCAACUAUAAUAUUCGUACAAGCUAAGCAAAUGUUGGGGAACUCCAGGUGGGGGGUUGGGUGGGGGCGAAUGAAAAGGGAGAACAACCUCAGCUCACCGGUCAAAUAAUACGUUGCAAAUCACGCUUAGCCAUUGAUUACAAAAGGAUGGUUGGGCCGAAUGAGUCAAUUUCGCAAAGACUGCCUUGUCCAACAUAAACUUUUCGAAAAUCAUCAUUCUGGCGACUUCUUCCAAGGCAUCGCCAAGUGUAAUGAUAUACCCCUAUAAACCAACAAAUUGAAUCAUUGCACAUUUGAUCCCCCUGUUGUUUUCUGUUUCACGAAGGUGCCACAGACCCGAUGACUUGGACUUGGAAUAAUUAAAAAAAGGCCAAAAAAAAAAAAAAUGUUCCUGUUGGUCAUGUUAAAGGCACAGAUUCCCCUUCUCCUCCAAUUCUCUCAUUCAUUGUCCUUUCGCACAAUUGCACAUGGGAAUGGGAGUGCAGAAGCCAAGGAGUAAGCGUGUCAGCUGUGCCUUGCCACUUGGGACUUUUUUGUUUAGGGAAGAUACGAAUUACUGUUUACAAGUGCAUUACUUUUACUUAUCAUCGAUUCUUGUGGGAAAUGUAUUUCCUCUUCUGUCGUCCGGCGAACGCGAUUCGAGUGAAAUAAAAUUAAAUUGAUUUACAUAAAAAAAUUAAAAGAAAAGCGGAUAGUGAAUGAUAUAUAACAUAACAACAAAAGGAAUAGCUUAAUAUAUACUGAUAAUAAUCAUAAGUCUCCAAAAUAACAAACAUAAAUCAAAUCAUAUCAUCACAUCUCCGUGAGCUACAAAGCAUAACUGAUAACUCUCUCUCAUUAUAAAAUUUAUAUGUAAUAAGACUCACUCCCUAAAAGACUAAAAACCCAGUGGAUCCGCCGCUACUAAGCCCACAUAACGUCUAAACAACGCAAAAAAAGAAAAAAAAAUGAAGAAACCACUCUACACACCCAAUAAGCUAGUGACACGUAAUCAGAUAGAGAACCGGCCUCUUAAACCCUGAGAACUGAGCCGAACACCAGAGCGGAAAGGAGAGCGACACCAGCGGCGGCUAAGGAAGGCGAGAUCGAGCCGGCUCCGGAAGCGGGAGCUGGAGCGGGAGAGAGAUCUUGAGCCGACCCUGCGAGAACCAAGGCGGCCAGGACAACGGCCAUCAUCAGCGUAGCCAUUGAAGCCUUUGAGAAUGCCAUUAUUGAAGCCUUUUUUUCUCAGGGUUUUUGAGAGCGUAACCGAAGGAAGCUGAGAGAGAUUCUUUUUCCUGUGUCUGUAUGUGGGAAGUGUUAGUAUUUAAGACAUGAGAAGAAAAUAGUGAGGUUUAUUUAUAGACUGAAAAGUGUGGACGGGAAGAGAGAAUUUCGGGCAGCGGCCCGGAUUUUUCCAGUCUGUCUAUUGGUUUCUUGACAGCUAUGUUUAUUUGUGGGGCCCAGUUAAUUAUAAUUUCACGCGACCGUUUAGGGUAUCGAACGGCGAAGCGACGUCGUGUCGGUUCACGAGUGUGACUUACGCCGAGGAAAUAAUUGAUUCUUUGGGAUUGGGAAAAAUUUGAGCAAAGUAAAAUUACGGAAACAGCAGCGAAUUAUAAUAUCGCAGUCUGUGAUAAACUUGAUAACUAUCUACUUGAAUUGAUAGGACAUAUAAAAAGAACAUUGUAUUAUUUAAAGGAUUGAAUAAUUUAAUUGAUAAAAAUCUCUUACCGCUAAGUUUGGAGAUCCAUUUGCACUCAAAUUUGGUGGAGGAAAAUUUUGAUUUCAGUUGUGUUAUGUUAUUAACAAAAAUUAUUGUUCAAAAAAUGCCUUUUUGUAGCUGCAAUAAAUGAGAAAAUUUUAAAGUACUUUUUUUUUAUUAUUUAUAUAAAUUGAACGAAAUCUUGGUGUGAUUAUUUUGUAAAUUCUCGAGAACUUUU
rnacentral:lncRNA from 1 species